rnacentral:lncRNA from 1 species
GCUACAAAGAAUGUCUCUCGAUGUGAGUGAUGUAUAGAGAAGACUGCAACCGUAGUCUCGUUCUAACCUUGGUAAGGAUGAUCCACUGUUCUAUUGGGGAGGCUCACGGAAUCUAGACAACACAAAGGAUGUUCGACGCGCACCUAUAAACCUACCUGUCCUGCUAACGAGAUGUGAUCUGCAAAGGUAACUCGGAAUUGUCACAUUCCUCGCUACUACCACGGUCCAGCUAGUCAGGGGAUAUCUAUGAGUACCCUAGCCUAAACACCACAUUUAUGCUAACAAGUGAUUACUCUAAUACUCAACCGGAAGAGGAUUAAAGUAAACUCAUAAACUAAAGAACAAUAAAACAAGAACUUACUAGUAUUAGAAGUCAAAUUACUGAAGAAUCUUAGAAGCAAGCCUCGGGUUAGGAGAAUUGAUCCCGUAGGUACAACUCGGAGUAGACACCGACAGGCUGGCCUUCCUCCGAUCCACACCUCCACUCUAUCUCUCUCAAUCUAGUAGAAACUAGAAGAUUUAUUUCUACUUUACAUUGGUUGCUAAGCCUAAAAAGAAAUAUUAUUUAGAGAAGAGGUUUUCCUUCGAGGGCACCCCUCAAUCUCUAUGAUAAUUUCUUGUCUCCUCCAGGGGCCAGAGGGGGUCUCCUUAUAUAGUCCUCCCCUUCUAUGCGUUUUUGGGUCGAUAGGCGAGGUGGUACUAUGUUAUUCUGGAUCCAAUAGGUCGGUGGAACGUCGUGUGCGAAGAGAGUCCGGAACGGAGUCCAGAGGGGGGCGGGCGCCCAGGUCCUCAGGGCGGGCGCCCUGGGCCUGGCCCCUUUCGGGCUCCGCUUCCUUCCCGUGGCUUCUGGAGUCUUCUAGAUGGUAGAAAAUUGCGCGGUGGGUUAACAUCUCUAUGUAAUCCCGACAUGUGGGCCUUUCUUCCUUAUUUCCUGAUAACCCCCUGCAGAAAUAGACAAACACCAAAACUCGUGGAAUUCUGUCAGAUAAAACCCUAAGUCUAGAUGUUGAUUUCAUUUGGACCCUUUUCUUUGUUUAUUUGAUAAUUAAAUUUGAUACUUAAGGACCAUCAACAAACUCCCCCAAGCUUACCUCUUGCUCGUCCCUGAGCAAGGAUGAACUCAAGAGUUUCUGCAGUGGUUUCAUUUCUUAGAAGUACACACGCAUUUAAGCAAGAUCUCAUCUCUGAGUUAGAAUAAACAGUUAAGACUUAAAACUUACUUACCUUACCUACACCAUAGGACUUGUAACCGUCACUUCUGUCUUGAGUGGUUAAAAGAUAGAACAGUCUAGCCAAGUGCCAUGUCUCUUAUUCUUGAUCAACUAUAGCUCUGGGGUUUUUGCAGAUUUUCAAAUAAAACUCAGAAAUUCCUUGUAUGAUUCUCUCAGGUCUCUCUUUUGUGGUAUUUUUGGAUCCUUACCAAGGCAGUGAUGGUAUAUGCCUUCUCUCAAGAUAUGUAGUAUUUGUGGUAUGAAGCAUAGUGACAUUGUCUUCUCUCUCACCCUACUCUAAUAAGGCUUUAAUAUCUGGAGCUCAUAGGUGGGAGAUAAAGUAUACAUACUUACAAGACAUUUAUUGCAUAGUCAAACCAUGGAUCCAAAGAAACAAAUCAAUAAGCCAAAUCAAGAUGUGCAUGUGUGGCGAAUGAAUGGUGUAUGGUGAUGAUGGUGAUAACAAUGGUGAAAGUCUAAUUCUACUUUUGCUCUUUUGAGGGGAUACAUACCUUUCUUGCACUUUGAAGCUUUUUGAGGAUAAUGAGAUGCUCUAUAUUUUCUUUUUCUUUCCUCUCAGGUGGGUAUCUUGUACCCCUAAUUCUACUGUCGGACACUUGUCCAUUUUUACCUUUCGUCUCACUUUUUUUCUUUUUCUUCGAGGUUCCGGGCACUUGCCCCUUUUUAUUUCCUCGUAUUCAUUUUUUUUCUCUCUCUCUCUUUUUUUUAGAGCACUCAUCUCCUGAAAUAAUGUAGCAAGUGGUAGUAACCAAAAUAACUGGAGCAUUUAUUUCACAGGGAAUAAUAGGGAUAGGAAAAUGUUUUUGGCUAUUCUCUCCCGGAUUAGGAGUAGAAUACUUUUGGGUGGUUUUGGAGAUGGAAAUGAAUGGAUAGUACUUCCGGAGUAGAAGUAGCAUGUAUGAGUGAACGUGCAAGUGAAUCUUGAUUUAACCACAUGACAAGCUCCUAAGGGUCUACACAGCUUGACCACACUCAAUGCUCAUAAGCAGUAAAAAGUAAAUAUGUGGCUCAAGGUCUAGCAAGCAUGUAUAUAUGGAUGUGGUAGGAAUUUAAACUCUCAUCAUAGAGGAACUCAUCAUGCAACAUUUUAAAGAUUUUCAAAGAUAAAAUUCUCCAGAAUUCUAGCAUCUCUAGGAACAGAUAAACAGCAGCUCAACCUUCCCAUAUCGUAUCCGUUAACAACUUGGACUUCAGAUCAAGUUUUCAUCCCACAAGUUUAGGUCUAGAGCAAGCUUUAAAUUAUAACAGUUAUGUCUAAACUUGAGAGAGAACUUAAAAUGUGCAAAUUAGGCAGAGCAACUAUUCAUCAUAUCCAUGCUUAAGUUUUAUUUAGAUACAGAUUAGCAUAGCCACUUUAUUUAUUUAUUAAACACACUAAGCAAAAGACAAAUAAGCAUGAAAUCUUUAUUUGGUUUUUCAUAGUUUAUGUAUUUUAAUAUUCUAAUAUAAUAUAAGUAUAAAGAUAGAUAGAUAGAAAUACUUAUCGAGAUAAAUGGGGGUGCUCUCCCCCAAGCUGAAUUUUGACGUAAUUUCUCUUGAUGUAGCUAGCAGGUGGCAGAGGUGUUUUUGAAAGUCAGCAGCAUUCUGACAGCGAUUAGAAUGUCCUCCGUCUGCUAGUCUUCUUGAUUCUUAAAUGCUGUGGAGCUCAAAUAGACAACAAAGCUUGUGGAACUGAUUAUGUGUUAGCAUAAAUAUCUAGCCUUUAUCAUCUUGAGACUCCUUAAUAAUUAUUACUCCCUGUUUUUUAUAUUUUCAUUUUAUAAAGCAGAAAAAUAUUUAUUUUAUUUUUAUGCCACCACAGUGAAUGUACUUAUGGGUUUUAUGCCACUCGUAUACUCACAUGGGGCUUACUGUUUUUCACAUUUUUAUUUUCUUUUAUAUUUAAGAUAGUAUGAAUAUGAUUAACUAAGUAAACUAUUUAAAAUAAUUGAAAGGGAAAGGAUAACUACCAAGUUUACCUCUUGGCAAGGCGUUCGGUAUUUUUAAGUCCUCCGAACGGGACUCUCCGUUUUCUUAGUCGUCCUGGGAUUUGCUGGGUGGCGUAGUCGGUGGUUCCGGCCGCGCCUCCUCUUCGUGUAUAACUAUCUUCUCUUUCCACACCUGACUCGGUGCUACGGUCUCCUCAGGACAGUUCUGUUCAAGUUGUAUGUCUUCAGUCCUUAUCACUUCUCCUUCGUAGUCUACCCAUCCAUCCUUGAUGAUCUGCCUCCUCUGGUUGCGGUUGCGUUGUCUUCUUCUUGUCCUGACCUGCUUAGAAUCUUCAACUAUAUAGUUGGAAUCAUUAAAGUAGUGGCGUACCUUCUCAGAGAGGAAGUGCAUGUGGACUUCUCCGGUUCCAAUAUAGAUGAUGGCUUUGAUAGUGUUGAGGAACGGUCUUCCAAGGAUGGUGGGUGGAUCAUACUCGUCUUCUCCCAUGUCAAUGACCUGAAAAUUGUUUGAAGCUGAAUGUAUCUUGGUUGUAGGGGCAUGGUUCCAUGCAGGAGCUGAUAAAUGACUGCGGCCAUUAUGUUGUCGUCAGAUCCGGUGUCGUAGAGUGUCUUCUAAAAAGAGUAUCCAUUGUUUGUGCAUUCGAUUCUUGGAACACCAGGGUCGUCCUUCUUGAUCAAGAAAGGUGACUUGAGUCAACGAUCUUGACCUCCUCGAGCUGUAGUGACCAUCUUAGCUGACUCGGUCCACAUUUGCUUGUUCCUGUUCCUCCUGUUGGUCCUCUUCCUUGGUUCAUGUCGGGAUUGCUCUGAAGUUUGUGUAGUCUUGUUCUUGAAGUAAAAUCUCCUUCUUCCCCUUGAUGUAGAGACUGAUCUUGGCAGCAUUAGCGUAGAUGACACUUCUGGUGUUUAGGAAUGGCCUCCCUAAGAUGAUGGGUGCCCUCUCCUCAGUGCCAAUCUCUAUCAUCACGAAGUUUGCUGGAGUGUACAAGGUACCAACUCGGACACAGAGGUUCUUCAAUAUUUCCUUUGGGGAACUAAGUGUCUGAUCUCCAUUGUGUUUGUGCUCGUAGAUCCCGGUGCUUCAAUUGAUGGAAUGUGGAAGUUGUGAAACGCCUUCACGUUUCUCAAAAUAUGUCCUGCUCAUAGAGACAAGGCAGAGAUCAAGUGCAUGGGCCCUGUUGGUGGAAAACACCAACAGAACCAAAAGUGUAUUUGUUCUUCUCUAACCUUAAGCAUAGUGAGCAAGACAAAGUUGAUGGAUCAUGAGUGUAGCAUUUAAAAUAUUUGUUAGAUCAGAUGGCUCAACCUAAUGGAAAGAUAAUCUAUCUAUAUUUAUGUUUUGUUUAUAUCUUCCAAAGAUUGAAUGUACAAUACUUUAGCUUAUAUGAUUAGGAGUGUGGGAUCACGAAGGUAGUAUUAAGAACAAAGAUUAAAGGACCAAACAUGUUGAAUUAAUUGGGUUGAUUAAUUUGGAGCUACAAAUCAUACAUGUUUGUCUCUUUAUUUUAUGUGAACGCUAGAACCAAGGAGAAGCUUAUAAAAGUGAUAGUCAAAUACCUUAAAAUAUUAGCUUACUUGAAGAGUGACGGUACAAUAUCACCUUGUGGAAGCUUUCCUUUCUUAGCGGUUGUGCAUCGUGUUUGUGGCACCCUAAAUGGAUCAUCUCUUUAUGAGCUAUGUCCUUCUUGUGCAAAUUGUUAAACUUCAUGUGUCUCCUUUAUCUCCAAUGAGUUUGUAUCUCAGGACUUCCCAGGUUGAUAUUAAAAGUUUUCCUGCAGGGGUUAGUCCAACAAAAUAUCCCAUAUCUACUAUAGCAUACUAUCGGCUCAAAAAUCAACCUAGACACCAUGUCUAGUUUGAUUUAGGAGGGCAUUUUAACCUAAGCACGAUGUUUAAUUUAAAAAUCCUUUGGAAGUAAGAUCAUCAUUCCUAAACUAAGCACCAUGCUUGAUUUAAGAGAUAAAUGAAACUACUCCAAACCUAGACAUAUACUAAAGCAAAUAAAGGUAGCAUGAGAGCAUUUAUAGCGAUCUACUCAAGUGGAGGUGAAGUAGUGUAAUUAGCACUUAACAAAUUGAGCAUGUCUCAAAGGUAAGGAUAACCAACGUAGCAACAUGGCAAAAGAUGUUUUUAUGUAAAGUACUCCCCCCAGCUUGAAUUUUGCAAAUUGUUUUAGGACAUUAAGCUUAUCCUUGGGAAACCAUCAAGUUAUGUUGGUGAAGUGGUUUCCCCUCCAACACCUACCUAUAUCAAGAUCAACUCAACGAGAUCUGCAAUAUUUAUUAUAGACAUAUGCAUCGACAACGGCUCUUUUAAAGUUUUUAUAAAUAGAAAAGAAGAGAGGGAUGGAGAUCUCAAAUGUGGUAAGGAUGGAGAGACCAAUUGAUUGGGGAGAUGUUUUAUAUGAGCAAGGACUUGGUAAGAUAUUUAUGAAAUAACUUCCAUGCUCACUGUUGUUUCUCCCAUUCUCAAACUCCAAGGUUGAUUCUUCAUGAAUGCUUAAAAUUCCUCUAGGAUUGUCUCUCAAGUUUGUUUUAUCCAUCCAUUCAAUGGUGAUAGCACAUGGAUUUUUAAUGCCCUCUAGCCAUCGAUGUUGCUCUUCUUGAUCCCCCUUCUUAUGCAGGGGAUGUCUAGAGAAAUUCAUAGGAUUAUCGGGAGGUUUAAGAGAAAGAGCAUAGUAGAAUUUAUUAAGCUCAAGGAUGGGAUGGAUAGCCGAAUCAUGGGAUUGAAAUGUUUGGAAAUCGGCUAUUGAAACUUCCUUUCCUCGUCUGGGAGAUGAUUCCUUCUCUAUUUCUAAGAUUUUUCUAUGAAGACUAGUACAAGAAGGAUGUCCACAAAUGAAGACAUACCUUCCUUUACUAAUAGAUAAAGAAAGAAGGACUCUACCAAAGGUUAUAUGAUUAAGACCAAUGUGAAAAUAUUCAGGAAAAACAUGGUCUUGUAGGGCUAGGUCUAAACCAGAAUUUAUAGAAAGAUUAACAGAUUCCCUAGGUGUAGCUAAAAGUGCAUUAUCUUCUUGAUUAAAAGAUAGGACCUCGGCUAUAGAAAAGGGUUGGUUUUGACCUAUUGCAAUCAACUCCGGACACAGAUCAUAAUUAGGGGCAGGACGUGUUGACUCCCAUGGUCUAUGGCUGGUCUCCAAAGGUGCAAAGAAUUUAAUAAUAAGUAUGGAAUUUAAGUUAUCCAUAAAAAUAAAAAGAUAAAAGAAUAAAAGUAUAAAAGUAUAAUACAAGAUAAUAGCAAGACUCAAAGUUAUCUCAGCAAACCGUCUUUCUCCCCGGCAACAGCGCCAGAAAUGCUUGUUGAUAUUUGGUAACGCAAUUAGAAAAUGAUCCGCAAGCGCAAGGAUAUCGGUGAGCAUUUCACCCGGGAGGUUUUCCAGAGUAUCGUAUUUAUAUUUUUACCACUGGGAGAAAGGGUGCAUCUGACUAACCAAAUCUAUUGCUACUAUCCCUUUAGGCUACAAAGAAUGUCUCUCGAUGUGAGUGAUGUAUAGAGAAGACUGCAACCGUAGUCUCGUUCUAACCUUGGUAAGGAUGAUCUACUGUUCUAUUGGGGAGGCUCACGGAAUCUAGACAACACAAAGGAUGUUUGACCCGCACCUAUAAACCUACCCGUCCUGCUAACGAGAUGUGAUCUGCAAAGGUAACUCGGAAUUCUCACGUUCCUCGCUACUACCACGGUCCAGCUAGUCAGGGGAUAUCUAUGAGUACCCUAGCCUAAACACCACGUUCAUGCUAACAAGUGAUUACUCUAAUACUCAACCGGAAGAGGAUUAAAGUAAACUCAUAAACCAAAGAACAAUAAAACAAGAACUUACUAGUAUUAGAAGUCAAAUUACUGAAGAAUCUUAGAAGCAAGCCUCGGGUUAGGAGACUUGAUCCCGUAGGUACAACUCGGAGUAGACACCGAUAGGCCGGCCUUCCUCCGAUCCACACCUCCACUCUAUCUCUCUCAAUCUAGUAGAAACUAGAAGAUCUAUUUCUACUUUACAUUGGUUGCUAAGCCUAAAAAGAAAUAUUAUUUAGAGAAGAGGUUUUCCUUCGAGGGCACCCCUCAAUCUCUAUGAUAAUUUCUUGUCUCCUCCAGGGGCAGAGGGGGUCUCCUUAUAUAGUCCUCCCCUUCUAUGCAUUUUUGGGUCGAUAGGCGAGGUGGUACUAUGUUAUUCUGGCUCCAAUAGGUUGGUGGAACGUCGUGUGCGAAGAGAGUCCGGAACGGAGUCCAGAGGGGGGCGGGCGCCCAGGUCCUCAGGGCGGGCGCUCUGGGCCUGGCCCCUUUCGAGCUCCGCUUCCUUCCCGUGGCUUCUGGUGUCUUCUAGAUGGUAGAAAAUUGCGCGGUGGGUUAAUAUCUCUAUGUAAUCCCGACAUGUGGGCCUUUCUUCCUUAUUUCCUGAUAACCCCCUGCAGAAAUAGACAAACACCAAAACUCGUGGAAUUCUGUCAGAUAAAACCCUAAGUCUAGAUGUUGAUUUCAUUUGGACCCUUUUCUUUGUUUAUUUGAUAAUUAAAUUUGAUACUUAAGGACCGUCAACAAUCCGCCAAAGCUUCGUUGGACAUCCGGCAAGCCUCGAGAUCCCAGGACGAAACAUCGGGGCCCAUCUCGUCCAUCCUCAACGGCCAAGACUGUUGGCAUUUCUUAAUGUCAUUACUAAGAAUAGGGUUUAAUCCAUCCUCAGCAACGAUGUCAGAAAUGUCGUGAUAACACUUACUAAUGCAAUCACCAAGAUUAGAGUAUAAAUCUAUCCUAAGCAACGGUGCCAGAAAUGCUUGUUAGCGUUUCUUAGCGUCGCUACCUAGAAUAGGGUUCUGCUCUACUCAUGAUAAUGACAUUGGCAGUGUUAUAUGGGCAGAUCCGUAGCAUCACCACCUUGAAUAGGAAGCUAGAUCUACCUUCCCGAUAACGGCGCCUUAUUUCCAUUAGGGUAGUGUUCCAGUUCUUAAUCAUGGUAGUGGCACUAGGAUUGCCAUGUUGGUAUUCCUUAACAAGCCACUAGCUCGGCGCAUGUCUAGCAACAGUGUUAAGUAUAUACCGGGGUGAUAGUUCCUUAGGUUCGGAGUUUAAGUACCGCAAGCGGACGGGAAUUAUCGUGUUGCAUUUAAACCCAGGGAUUUACCGAGUGUCGUAUUUAUAGGUUCGCUCUAAGGAAGGCUUAAUAUGUUAAGGAUUCUAAGAUAAGCAUAGAUCAAAGUAAUUAUGAUAGCAAUAAUGGAAUCAAAAGUCAUAGCCGGUGAUAAACACUUAUAUGUAGAAUAGUGAUCCAUCACAAUCUAGGCAUGGCAUAUGGGCUAAGGAAUAAAAAGAGACUAAAAGAAUGAAUUGAAUCAAAGAAUAAACAAACAACCUAUUGGAGCAGGUGUGGUCCUAGAUACAGAUCAUGUCAUAGAACAAGUAAUUAUACUACUUAGAUCAAGUCCUGUGUUUAGAUGGUUUGGGAGGUUACGCGAGUACUGGUCUGCCAGCAACCUCCGCAACUAUUUAGACUCCUACGCCCUAGCCGAACGUAGGGGAAUGCCAAGGACGGACAGGAUUGUCACCACCUGCCGCCAUCCCCUCAAUCGUGGACUAGGACAAUGCAUUUACCCGGCCUUUACACCCAAGCACCAUGCUUACAUGCAAAGAACCUACUCGGACUCCCCCGGGUCCCCGAUCCUACGGAUCGGCAGGUAAGAAGCCUGAGCCUACUCAAAAGAGCAUGAUAAACCCCCAUCUUCACAUAAAGAUAUUUCUAGGCAAUUAAUUAACAUGAAGCAAUUAGACUAAAGUCCUAAGUGAGAAUAAUACAACAUACACAUAGCACUAGUUCAUAUAAUACACUACUAGCCCUAGGGUAGCAUUAUACUAAAAUAACUAUAUACUAAAAUGUAUGUCAUAUCAUUUCCACUAGAACUAUAUUCUAGUUCAUAUGCUAGCAUCAUAAAACAUGGCCUAUGAUCUAUAUCAUAUACCAUAGCAUAAGAACUAUACUCUAGUUCAUAUGAAGAACUAUAUCGGACAUGAUAAGGCAUGGACUUGGAGUAAAGAUAUUCUUUAUUCAUACCCAAGUUUCUCUCCAAGGAGCCAAGCCCUGCUUGAUAGCUCACCCAACUAUCUCUCUAAAAGCUAAAAGGGAAAAACUAAGAAGAGGUAGUGCCCAAAUGCCUUGAAGGUGGAGUGUUGAUUGUGAAUGUGAUGAGAUGAUUGGAGCCUCCCUCUCCCCCUCCUUAAAUAGGUGGGGAAGGUCGGUUCCCCAGGGUGUAAACUGCAAUUUUCCACGUGGGGACUGCGGGAGGAUAGGCUCAGCACCGCCUCUGCGAAAGGCGGUGCCGAGAUGGGCUGGGCCAGGGUCGGCCGACCCUAGGGGGCGGCCGCCCCCUGGUGGGCCCCGCUGGCGCCGGCCCGAAGCCCGUUGCCUUCCUCUCGGGCCCCUGAGUCCAGAUCCAUCUGCAAAUUGAUGCACUUCUAUAUUGGGCUUUUGGGUACUUGUUUAUUUGCUCAUUUUUUUUGACGUGUCGGAUUGCGCCUUUUUAUUUGCUUUCCACCUGUAUGCCUGUAUAUGAUCUGCAAAACACAACUUGCACUACAUCUGGAACUUGGUAAGCAUUUAAUAAGUAUAUGUGAGUAAAAUACAUGUUUUUCUUCCUUUGCAUGGACUAUGUUGGCGGGGUAAAUCUGUCAUUAAGAACCGCCAACAAACUCCCCCAAGCUUACCCCUUGCUCGUCCUCGAGCAAGAAUCUAAGAUCUUGGUUGUUGAUCAGGAGUUGCUACAAUAUUUUCACUUCUAUCCACUACAUACCUUCAAACAAGAAUCCUCCUUUGAAUUUUGAACAGAUAUGUCAUAGGGCUUAUUGCUCAUACCUUGGGUCCUUAAGCAUUUGGAGGAUGGAUUUGAUCAGAUCGAGCGCUAUGUCCCCAGUUCUUUACUUCACUUUUGUUUCAGAGUUUUUUUGAUUUUCAAAACUUAGCACAUUUAUUUGUCAAAUUAAACAAUGGAUCCAAAGAGAAAGUUAAUCAUACCAUUGAAUUUUUGAAAACUUUUUCUUUUCCAUCAUUCUCUUUUUGUCUAUUAGAGACACAUGCUAUGUGGCUAAUUCUACUGUUGGGCACUUGCCCAUUUUUUUUAUUUUUAUUUUUUUCGAGGUUCCGGACACAUGUCCCUUUUUAUUUCCUCGUGAUCUUUCUUUUUGAGGUUUUGGACACAUGUCCCUUUUUAUUUCCUCGGAUGCUUUUUUUUUCUUUUUCAUAACCAUAUGCCUUCUAACGAACUUUUGAGAUGAUAACAUAAUGAAAUAUUUUUGUUUUCAAUGGUAUGACAACCUCUCAAAGGGUCAACAAAGCUUAAUCUAACUCAAUGUGAUUAUUUUAUUUUUGUAAAAACUCCAGAACUCUAGCGUUGUUUAGAACAGGAAACUAGCAGCUCAGAUCAUCACAAAUAUAUCCAUUAAUUACUUUAGACUUUAGAUAGAGCAUUUUGCAACCCACGAAUUUAAUCAUUUUAUUAAUUUGGAGAAUUCAAGGUUGAAACUAGAUACUGGAAAGAAAUUACGAUAGAGCAACUAUUCAUCAUUUCAACAAGGAAGAAGCAUAUAUCUUACGUCACAUAUAGGAGUGGAAUUAUAUUUUUGUCUUUUUAGCAUUUUUCAUUUUUUAUAUGCAAUAAUUAAAACAUGGAAAUUUCAUAAAGUAAACAUGCUAAUUUAAAAUUAAGGAUGCAUGAAAAUAAAUAUGCAAUGCAGAUAACCUCGAGAUUGGGGGUCCACCCCCAAGCUAGCUUCUGGCCUAUUGAUCGGGGUUGUACCCCAUGUACCGCCAGAAGUCUUGGGACUGUUUCAGCAGCUGAUCUUGGCGAGCUUGCAUUUCUUCUUGCUGCUGGUGGUGCCAGGCCUGUUGUUCCUAUUGCCAUAGCAACCCUUGCUAGUGCCACUCCACGGCCUGCUGGUGGUGCGCAUCGGUGGUUUGGAUGUGUUGUUGGAGAGUAUCCUGGAACUCAUCCGUGCGCACCACCAGUCCCAAAAGCUGAGCUUGGAGGCGCUCCAAGUCGGUUUGGCCUACUGUGGAGGCCGAAGGAUGUUCUUCUGGUGAUUCGGCCCUCCAGCGCGAUUGUUGUUCCCAAACGCUGGAAUCCGCCUCAGCCCACCCCUCAACACCUUGUGUCGGCAUGGGUGUUUCCCACCCCGACUAGUAGAUCGGCUGUGUAUAGGAGGGUGGUGGCUGGAAGCUGGAUCCGCUGAUGUUCCUGCCAGAAACACUACGCCUCCGUGCAGUUUCAGCUGUCUGCAAAUCAAAGGUUAGUCUCCCAAAGUUAUACAAGCGUAGACCUGGGUUAGGUGACCGGAUUACGUUUGUAUACCCUGGGAAAUAAAACACAAGACCGCCCGCAUUAUCUCUUUUCAAAUGGUGACCUUGGAUAAGAUAGGUUUCAUUAAUCAUGGUGUGUGGAAUUUGAAUAUAAUCAAGAUCUUGCCCUUCCAACGCACCAAUGGCCGUGGCCACACGUGUUAUGAGUGAAGUCAAAGAGAUAGGGGUGGUUGUCUUGAUUAUAUCUAACCAAUGCCUUACAAUUUCUUGCACAGGCGUAACUUUUAUUUUCAUUCUAGCCGCGUAAAGUAACCUCAUUUCAUUUACUCGCACAACGCGGGUAUCCUGGCUAGGAAACAUUGUUAUGGAUAGCCAAAGGUGUAGAAACCUUAGAGUGGGGUGUUGGAUGUGGGCAUUUCUAGGAUAGUAUUUUCCAGUGUGAACUUGUCCCGUGAUUUCUUCCCAAAACUUAUCCUUAUUAAACCCUUUUGUCGCAUGCACUAAAUCAAGAGAGCAUAUUUGAUGAAAACCAUGGUAUUUGCUUAAGUCUAUCUAAAAGAUAGCAUAUUCAUUUCGAAAUAAACGAACAAAAAUACCUUCAUAUGUUUCUCUUAAAGUGCAUAGGAAUUGAAUGGUAAGGGUAUAGGAUCCAUACUCAGUUAUGGGGUGAAUGUUGUCCCACCCGGCAGCUUUCCAUAUGGAGAGGAAUUCAGAGUCCAUACCGAUGUCGGAGAGGAGCGAGUCGUCGUAGACCGGCGUAUGGAGGAAGAUCCGGUCCUUGAGCAUGUUGUAGGCUUGAUGUUCUCGAUCACCCACCAAGUCGAAUUGGUGGGCUCCUCCUUCUUCAUGUUGUUCCUCCUCUUCUUCCUCUACCUCUUCCUCUACCUCCUCGAUCUCCGGGGAUUCUUCCUCAGCGGAAGGACUCUAUCGGGGAUCGGCACUUCGAGGAUGACCUCGUGACUCUUUUAAAUGCCCCCGAAACUGUUUUGCCGUACCUUUUCAUGGUGCAAUGCUUGCACCAGUGGAUAGCUAGCUUGGAUAGGUGAUUUUUUUGUGAGGUUUCUGCUGGUGGUUGGUUGGAAAUAGCAAAGAUGUGAAAGUGUUGCUUGGAAAGUGACGAUGGAAGUGAUGAAGUGAAGUGAGAAUGGGUGGAGAGGGCCACACCUGAACCCCUGGUAUUUAUAGUUUGAAAAUGCAGGUGGAUUCGGUGUGAGGGCAACAGCUAGGAGCCUCCCCCAGCUGGCCGUUGGCCAGAGCCAUUAGGGGGGGGUCGGUUGACCCUAGCGGCGGCCGCCCCCUGGUGGGCCCCACAGCUCCCCAGCUUUUGUCUCCAUCUUCCAACGGCUAGUUUUUGAAGUUUUGUGUUGGCAUAUUGAUGCACUUCUAGCUGAAAAAAUGACUUUUGCAAUUUCCAACAUUUAUUUGUAAAAUUUUUAUUUUUGAAAAAUUUAGAAAAAAUAUUUUUCUAUUAUUUUAUUUUAUUUCCUAGCUGAAAAUGAAUUUUAUGAAUAUUUUUCAAAUUUUUAUAUAUAUAUAUAUUUUAAGAUAACUACCGAUUACCUUCGGCGGAGGCUCAAAAAAAUGUUUAUAGUCCUUUUUGAGAAGGACACUCUUCCGUCGUUUGAAUUUCACCCUGCAUGUUUAGUGGGAGAGUUCUCGGGUUGCCCCGGGAGUCUACCCGCAUUCUCAGUAGGAAUUGCAGCGGCGAUCUGAGCUAGUUGUGUUUCUAUCAUUUUAUUAAAGCUCAGUUGGUUUUGUACGGAAGAGGCAAGGUUUUCUAUUUUUCUAUUUAUGUUUUCUAAAACCUUAUCAUUGGACAGCAACUUUUUAGUUAAGUUUUCAUUUAUUUUAGCUUAUCCAAGAACUAGGUCUUUUAAUGAAGGUUGAUUCGAAUUAAAACUCGAAUUACCUUGGAAUGAAGAGCGUGACUGAUUAUUCCAACCAUUACCUUGGUUGGCGCCUCCUUGUUGGUGGAACCCGUUGUUGAUGUAGGCAGCGUCUUCAUGGGUUUCGGGGCAAUCAUUUCCCGAAUGGCCAACUUAUCCACAGACCUCGCACGUCAUGUGCGAGUCUAUGGCCUUCACUGAGUUCGAGGGGUUCUCUUGGUUCUUCUCGGUGAGUUGCUUCAUCAAUAAAUCUAUUUUUGCGGCAAGCAUAUCCGUCUCCUUCACGGUAUGCAUGCCUUUUGUGUUUUGGCAGCUAGGGGUUGAGUCCUGUCCUCCCCCCAGCUCUGGUGUUCUACCAUCUUCUUGAUCAGGGCCUUGGCCCCGGCGGUGGUAAGUGAUAGGAACGCGCCUCCAGCGGCGGCGUAUAGGUGUCCCUUCGACAUGGGCGUGAGCCCAUUGUAGAAGUUUUGGAGCACCAUCCAGUUCUCCAUGUCGUGAUGGGGGCAGCUUAGGAUGUACUCUUGUAGCCGCUCCCAUGCUUCAGGGAUUGUUUUGCUGGCAUUUUGUUGAAAACUGGCAAUCCUUCCCUCAAUGCAUUGGUUUUGCUUAUGGGGAAGAACUUGGCGAGGAAUGCCGCAGAACAUUUUGCCCACGUGGUGACAGCUUCCUUAUCUUGAUAGAACCACCUCUUCGCCUUCCCCACGAGGGAGAAAUGAAAGAGGCGGAGCUGAAUGACAUCAGGAGUGAUGUCCUUGAUGACAAUCGUGUCACAUAGCUCCAGGAAGUGUUGAAGGUGUGCAUUUGCAUCCUCGCUUGACAAGCCACAGAAUGGGCUCGCCUACACCAUGGUGAUCAGGCUGGUGUGUAGCUCGAAGUUCUUGCCGGCCAUGUCAACAACGGGGCUAGUGGUCACGUUGGUGACAGCGGGCACGGAGAACUCGCGGAGUGUCUUCUCGGCGGCUAUGAGUUCGUUCGGGGUUGGUGCAGUACCGGCUGGUUCACUUGUCGGUGGUGUAGCAGAAGACGAAACGGUUCGAGACCGUCUAGUCCUUAGGAGUGCCUCGGGAUCGGAGAUGUAGUUUUCCGGCAAAGAGAAACCAGGCAUACACUAUUCCUCCUGUUUAAUCCACAACAGGGAGAAAAUAGGCAGAGUUAUCCUGCAUAACAAUUGACUCAUUACGCACAUCAGAUUACUUGAUUAUAUUUAUCUAGAAUCAUUUUCAUAUUAGCCUGCCCCGGCAGUGGCACCAGAAAUGCUUGUUGGCAUUUCUUAACGUCAUUACUAAGAAUAGGGUUUAAUCUGUCCUCAGCAACGAUGUCAGAAAUGUCGUGAUAACACUUACUAAUGCAAUCACCAAGAUUAGAGUAUAAAUCUAUCCUAAGCAACGGUGCCAGAAAUGCUUGUUAGCGUUUCUUAGCGUCGCUACCUAGAAUAGGGUUCUGCUCUACUCAUGAUAAUGACAUUUGCAGUGUUAUAUUGGCAGAUCCGUAGCAUCACCACCUUGAAUAGGAAGCUAGAUCUACCUUCCUGAUAACGGCACCUUAUUACCGUUAGGGUAGGGUUCCAGUUCUUAAUCAUGGUAGUGGCACUAGGAUUGCCAUGUUGGUAUUCCUUAACAAGUCACUAGCUCGGCGCAUGUCUAGCAACAGUAUUAAGUAUAUACCGGGGUGAUAGUUCCUUAGGUUUGGAGUUUAAGUACCGCAAGCGGACGGGAAUUAUCGUGUAGCAUUUCAACCCGGGGAUUUACCGAGUGUCGUAUUUAUAGGUUCGCUCUAAGGAAGGCUUAAUAUGUUAAGGAUUCUCAGAUAAGCAUAGAUCAAAGUAGUUAUGAUAGCAAUAAUGGAAUCAAAAGUCAUAGCAGGUGAUAAACAUUUAUAUGUAGAAUAGUGAUCCAUCACAAUCUAGGCAUGGCAUAUGGGCUAAGGAAUAAAAAGAGACUAAAAGAAUGAAUUGAUUCAAAGAAUAAACAAACAACCUAUUGGAGCAGGUGUGGUCCUAGAUACAGAUCAUGUCAUAGAACAAGUAAUUAUAGUACUUAGAUCUAGUCCUGUGUUUAGAUGGUUUGGGAGGUUACACGAGUACUGGUCUGCCAGCAACCUCCGCAACUAUUUAGACUCCUACACCCUAGCCGAACGUGGGGGAAUGCCAAGGACGGACAAGGCUGUCACCACCUGCCACCAUCCCCUCAAUCGUGGACUAGGACAAUGCAUUUACUCGGCCUUUACACCCAAGCACCAUGCUUACAUGCAAAUAACCUACUCGGACUCCCUCGGGUCCCUGACCCUACGGAUCGACAGGUAAGAAGCCCGAGCCCACUCAAAAGAGCAUGAUAAACCCCCAUCUUCACACAAAGCUAUUUCUAGGCAAUUAAUUAACAUGAAGCAAUUAGACUAAAGUCCUAAGUGUGAAUAAUACAACAUACACUUAGCACUAGUUCAUAUAAUACACUACUAGCCCUAGGGUAGCAUUAUACUAUAAGAACUAUAUACUAAAAUGUAUGUCAUAUCAUUUCCACUAGAACUAUAUUCUAGUUCAUAUGCUAGCAUCAUAAAACAUGGCCUAUGAUCUAUAUCAUAUACCAUAGCAUAAGAACUAAACUCUAGUUCAUAUGAAGAACUAUAUCGGACAUGAUAAGGCAUGGACUUGGAGUAAAGAUAUUCUUUAUUCAUACCCAAGUUUCUCUCCAAAGAGCCAAGCCCUCCUUGAUAGCUUACCCAACUCUCUCUCUAAAAGCUAAAAUGGAAAAACUAAGAAGAGGUAGUGCCCAAAUGCCUUGAAGGUGGAGUGUUGAUUGUGAAUGUGAUGAGAUGAUUGGAGCCUCCCUCUCCUCCUCCUUAAAUAGGUGGGGAAGGUCGGUUCCCCAGGUGUAAACUGCAAUUUGCACGUGGGGACUGUGGGAGGAUAGGCUCAGCACCGCCUCUGCGAAAGGCGGUGCCGAGAUGGGCUGGGCCAGGGUCGGCCGACCCUAGGGGGCGGCCGCCCCCUGGUGAGCCCCGCUGGCCCUGGCUCGAAGCCCGUUGCCUUCCUCUCGGGCCCCUGAGUCCAGAUCCACCUGCAAAUUUAUGCACUUCUAUAUUGGGCUUUUGGGUACUUGUUUCUUUGCGCAUUUUUUUUGACGUGUCGGAUUGCGCCUUUUUAUUUGCUUUCCACCUGUAUUCCUGUAUAUGAUCUGCAAAACACAACUUGCACCACAUGUGGAACUUGGUAAGCAUUUAAUAAGUAUAUGUGAGUAAAAUACAUGCUUUUCUUCCUUUGCAUGGACUAUGUUGGCGUGGUAAAUAUGUCAUUAAGAACCACCAAUAGAGACAUCAGCGGGAGAACCCUCCAAUGAUGGAUGGCCGAGAGGACAAGAGCGGCAGUCAGACCUUCCUCGCGCAGCUUCUUCAAGGCACCGAGGAGGGGGUCGAGCCGCGAUUGGUGGGCCUAGACGACGCCGUACUUCUAGUGAUCCGGACGCUCUUAAAUCAGACGCCCGGUGUAGGCAGGGAGGAGGUCGUCGUCAUUCCGUAAGUAAAACCAUUGGGAGUCCCAUCCGACGUGGUUCGACGUCAACCCCACCGGGAUGUACUCGCGCGUCCUCUCCGACAUGCCGGUCUUGACCACCAAGUUGAGGCACCCGGCCCAUAGUGGCUUCCUCACCCCUACGGCACCACCAGGAGCAUUGAAGAGCUCGCCUCGGUACAAAUGGAGCCACAAGUCCCAGUGAGGCAUCCUCCCCAGGUAGCCCUCACACACCGCGGCAAAAUCCGUCGCGGCGGUAAUGGCGUUCGGGGAAAAUGCUGGAGCUCCACCCCGUAGUGGUGGCAGAGCGCCCGCAUGAAGCGACUGGGAGGGGAGCCCAAGCCGUGACGGUGGAAUUUGGCGAAGGAGACCACAUAGCCCCUGGGCGGCCUUGGCUCCCGGUGGUCCGCCGCCGGCGCGGUCCACUCCGGCCGUGACGACGAGGAGCGAGGGCGCAGGAGUCCUUCCUUCUCGAGCUCCAGCAAACGGCGCUCCGUCAUCGACGACGGGCGCCAGUCAUCGGCGACGAUGAGUCUCACAAGCAUUUUUUGGUGGGAGAAGGGCGACUUCGCUACUGCUCGAGGGUGCGCGCGUGUGAGAUGGCAAGGAAGCUGAAGCAAGAAUGGAGGCAAGAGGUGGAAGGAGCGAUGGCAAGAAGGCCACAGGACAUUUAUAGACGGCAUCGCACCAACGGACAGAAACGAUGUAUCUGGUAACUCCUCCCAUAAAUGCGCCGCCUAACGGUCCUUAUCUCUCUCUCACAGACGGGACACUACAAAUUCCAUGCCGGCACAGUGCCGCAAUGGCUCCGCCUGAAAAGACACGCCCAAUGGGCAAAAAGGCGAAGCGCUACGGUAUGUACCCACAAAAAUCUCGAGAGGUCGCAGGCUGACCCACCGAAUGGGUUCGACAGCCGAUCUCGAGUACCAGAGUCAGGGAUGCCCAGCAAAUGGUCCAAAGUCGAGGCCCGCCUCGAGAAUUCGCUGGGGAUGUCCAAGGCAAGGUCGAGACGGUCAAGAGGGAUCCCCCCGAAGGGAGGCAUCGAGCCACUGGACUCUAUCGAACGAGAUCAGUAACCCCGACCACGUCGACCCCGCUUUAUGAGGACGCUGUAACACCCUAGUGUUAUGGUUGCAUUAAUCAUGUGCAUAGCAUAAGCAUCAUUAUCUAAUCAAAGCAUCCAUGAUCAUCUUCUCUCUUGAGCCAUGUCAUUCUAUGCAAAAAUGUGGUUUAAACUGCUUAAAUAGUCUUCCUGUGCUUAUGAUUGAGUGAAUCAUGCUUGUGUUUAUGCUUAAUGCCUUGGUAAUUAGUUUAUCUAUGCUUAACUUGGCCUUGGGAACAAUGUUCAUGUUGGUCACUUCAGCAAAAUAUGCUUUUAAGUCAUACUUAUGUAAAUAGGCCCUAGAAACCUCUUUUGCUUAGGCUUUUAAAAAGUGUUUCAUAAAAUGUUUGCAUGUCAAAUCUUUCUACAUCAAAGUUGUAGAAAAUUUUAUAAGGAACAAAAGUCCUUUUAUGGCCAUCUCAUGAAAAUGAUCACAAAUAGCUCAAAAGUGACCCACAAGGCAGAAUCGGGGCUGUUUUCAACACUUAGAAAAUUUUCUAAGUCCUGGAACGAAACCAGUUUGCUUGAUCGAUUUUGGAAACUCUAUAUCUUUCAAUCCAGGCCGAUUUGGCUUUUGCUCCAAUUGACAAAGUUGUAGAACUCGGUUGGAACUCCAACUUUGUCAAUUGCAUCGUCCUCUAACUCGGGUUGGUUUGGGAGUUCGUCGUUGCUAAAGUCGCUCUGUCAAUCGGUCACCGAUUUCUCUAAAUCGAAGCCGAGCUCGCCGUCGGGGAUGGCAAGAGCGCCACCUGUCCGCCAGAUGUCGUCCGUACGCCGGCGAUGGCCCCGCUCGUCAGCUCCCAGCACGCGCAUGACGUCCACGGCGACGCCCCGAGCGAGUGGACGCGUCCACUUUCGCUCUGCCUCGCCUCUCCCUCGCCUGAAGAGCGCCCGCAGCGAGCUCACCGUCGCGAGCUCACUCCGGCGAGCUCGUGUGCGCUCCUCGCUGCGUCUCUGACCACCAAAUUCCACCCAAAGCUCCGCCGUGAACCGCUCUCCAAUCUCCACCCUCUAACUCGCCGAGAAACCCACCGAUGAGCCGACAUUUCCUUCUUCCCCCAAAUCGGGUCGCUGUGACCAUCUUCUCCGACGAACUCAAUGCCGAGCUCUGUGUAGCCUCUCGUUGUCUCUGGUUAGGUCCUAGAGGUAGCUUAGGUCCUUAGCGAGCUUUUGCGCCACUUGGUGGACGCUCUACCAAGCUCUCCGUCGCCGGACACGGUGCGCAGCGCCGCCGUGCUUCCGCCGGAGAUGGGUGCUCUCGUGGCCAGCGUGUUCCACGAGGAUCCAGGUCAAGCUGUGUACCUAGGAAGCUUCGCCAUAGUCCGCUGGUGCUGUAGAAGGCCUUAGCUCGCGCUCUACCGGCCUGAGGGCUCCGGCGUAACGCCGAGCACCUCCGCCGAGCCGCCAUCGUCGACGGUAAGCACCUUCCGGUGGCUCCGCCGUGGGGAACAGGGGGUCAAUCGAGUCGCUAGGGUUUGGGGAUCACGCUGAUGCCCUUGGUUUGGCCGGAGACCUCGCCGUCGUGGAGAAAUCGCCGGCGAAAGUCGCCUCGGCCGCGAGGAAGAAAGACCUGACAGAGGGGGUCCACUGUUAGUGUCACCUCUUUCCCUCCUUUUCUUUUAUUCAAAAUCUGGAUUUUUGGCUUUCUUGCAAAAAUCAUAUCUCCUGUUUCUGACAUCCAAAAAUUGUGAAACAAAUUUUGUGGUGUUUCUUGAGAUGGCUAGUAUUUAAUAAAAAUAUAAAAUGAACCAUGUUUUCUGAGAAAUUAUUUAUUAAGGAUUUAAUCUUGUUAUUCAUGGAUAAAUGCAUAUCUCUUGUUAUACUGCUUAGUUUACUCUGAAAAUUUUAUGGUAGUCUCUAUAUGGUAUGAGAGUGCUUUGGUAAAUAUUUCAUUAUUUCUGGAGCACUGCAGCUUUGUUAUGUAAAUUAUGAUUGAAAUGUGGCUUGUUUCCUUGAUUAAAUUAUAUAAAUUAAUUGGUGCUUAUGCUGGUGCUCUACUUUGGUAGUAAACUUGUUUAUGGUAUUCCUAUGUUGUAAAUAAUCUGAAAUCUGUUGUUUGGCAUCAUAUAUGUCAUGUUUUGGAAUUUAUGAAAUAAGCACCUUGGCCCAUGUUAAAUACAUAUCUUUAAUUUGGUAUGUGCAAUGGCUCUGAAAUUUUUAUGGUGAUGAUCUGAUGUUAUAUUUGUGCUUCUGUAAUUUUUAUAGAUUUUUCUGAGCACUUUAACUAGUACUUUGUAAUUAUGCUCCUAUCUAGAAAUAAUUGAUAAAUGCCUUGUUAAGUAAAUGUUUGGGAGUUUCCAUCUGAUGUUCUGGUAACCUUGUAAUAUGUUUGUGCUCAUAGGCCAUGUGGUUGGCAUGGUUUGUGUUUUGAUCAUGUUAUUAAAUAAUUAACUUUAGGGUUAAAUGCUGUUCUGGACAGCAAGGGAGCAAUUUAACUGUUACUUAAUGAUAACUUGACUUUCUGUGAAACUUGUCUAAAUCAAAGUUGUUCUGAACUUGUUGAACUAGCUGUGGUUUAAAUUUGAGGUCAUUUGGCAAAGUAGUUUAAAAGUUAUGGCUGUUCCAAGUUGGGUUCCAGAAAUAGGGGUUCUCUGUUUUUCUGGGACAGAACCUGGAACUUUGUUUAAAAUGACUAGUUUAAUGUUUGAAUCUUGCUGUGAUGUUUAAAGAUGAUUUGUAGACAAUUUCAUAAGCUUUCCAGAAUGUCUUUACUUAUGUUUGUUGGAUCUGUCUAUCAUUAGUUAUGAUUUAUUUACUGAGCUACUCCUGUUUUAUAUUGCUUGCUGUUUUAGUAUCAUGAUAGGCUGUGGGUUAAGUAACUUGUUUACUUGUGUGAGCUUAUUAUAACUUUUGCUCUGUAAAUGAGUGUCCAGUGAGUUACUUGUGUUAUCACGCAUUCAUCUUUAGCAUGUGCAUCUUCUUACUGUUCGAGCAUGCAAUAGGUGCAUCGGACGCGACAGCCUCCUACGAGCUUCAGGCGAAUCCCGAAGGUCAGGAGGGCAGUCAGGAGGUGGAGGUCCAGCAAGCCGGACUCGAGGAGCCCGAAGAAAAAGUUGAGUGCCCGAAUCACGAGCCGGCAUCGUUCGUGAAAGGCAAGCCCCGGAGCAUUCUAAGACUCCCGUUAUUUUCGAAAGUUUACUUAAUAUGUUAUACCUAUUGAUGCAUUACGUAUAGGAGUUGUGAUGAAACUGCUGCUGCAUUCUUCUCUAUCCUUGUCCAGAUAACUCACCACACCCUGGUCGUAGAGUUAGGAUCGAGUAGAAGCUUAGCCAUGCUUUAAUCGGUAGAAGUCGGGUGAUGUCCUGUCACCUGCGCGAUAUAGGGUUAUGUCGUAUCACGAUAGUCUAUAUGUGCUAUCGUGGAUGGAACCUGAUUAAAUUGACUUAAGCCGGGCGGAGUUUUGCAAGUUUGUAGUAACUCCGUCUGUGGCAGCUAAGGACCGAUCGUUGUACGUCCUCUUGUCAUGUUGAACGCAUGCCUAACACUUAGUUGGCCGGAUAACUCGUUCCGACCGCGAAGCCGAGUAGUAUGACUCAGACCGGAAGACCGGCAAGUAUAAAGUGCGCACUACCGGAGGAAGUGCGGUGUGCGGGGGACCAUUGGCGUAAGUCCAAAGGCAGGUGAGUUAAAAUUCGUGACCUCCCUGGCAGAGUGGUAGCCCUAGGAGUGCGGCGCUGAUCGGAGCCGCGAUUCCUGAGUUGUACCAAAGGUGACCCGUUGGCUCUCCGGCAGGGGAUGCUUGGGUGAGUGCUAGGAAUAACCCUCCAGCUGGAUAGGAAUUCAAUUCAAAUCGCCGUCUCUCCCGGUUAGUGAGAACUUGACAGAGCAGCGGCAAACGUAGCAAUCACUAAUGAAGUUGGUUCAUGAUAAUGAUGAUAGCAAGAAGAACAUAUGAUGAAUUUGAUAUGGUUAUUAUUGAUUGUAAUAAUCAAGUGAGGUGCUGUAGUACAGGUGCUAAUCUAGUGGUAGGCUGAUGAUAAACAAAUAUGAUGCUCUCGAAAUAAUUCAAUUGCAAUUUAAGCUCUUGGCAAAAGGUGAGUCAACCAGCUCCACUUGAUGCUUAGCCUUGCAUGAUCCUUGGUGUCUUUUAUGUUUUACUAGACGGGUAAGUCUAGCUGAGUACAUUCUCGUACUCAGGGUUUAUUCCCACCUGUUGCAGAUGACAUCUUCUAUGACGGAUUCUGCAAGACCUGUCUCCAUCCCGCUGGGGAUGAGGACUAACCAUUGGGCACGGUUCUCUAACCAUCUUGUCUCUGAUGCUUUUGGAAGGAUGGCAUAGACUCUGGCAGUAACAAAAACUUGUGAACUGAACUUUGAACAAGUGUGUGUAACUAUUUUGCUUCCGCUACUUCGAACUUGGGUUGUAAUAACUUAAUGACUCCGAUGUGGUACCGCUUCGCCGGCAAUGAAUGACUAUGUAACAUCCGCUGUGUUUAUGUUGAACCAUUACGAUCUUGGUUUGUUGCGAGUUGGUUUGAAGUCCUUCGUGAUUUCGAUUGACUACCGGGAUUAUAAGGGCUCAAGUUUAGAAACUUGAUUGCUUGGCGAUCGUUUCUGCACUUGAACUCUUAUAAUUUGGUCGGUUCUGUGACAGACGCCUCUGGGCUACAGCCGACCCCCUCGAACGGGGCACGGGUUCUCACUUGGAUUACCCGCUAGGAGCUCAAUCUGGGGUGGAUGAUGCUUGCUCCACCGGGACUACGUCGAGACCCUGCGUAAAACGAACCAAUCAGAGCCUUCCACAAUGGAUAUCGAGAGCGUUUCCGCAAAUUAGGCAAUAUAACCCUCGAAGGAGUCAAAAACUCUUCCAAGGGCUCCGGGGCUACCCCCAUGGAAACUCGACCACCAAAAAGAGCCUCCACUCGAGCGCAAGCGCUCGAAUAGAGACUCGGGGGCUACUGUCGAGGAUAUCAGUAAGGGGUACCCAAACUGAUGUGCAUAUCGAGAGUAUCCGUACACAAGUCGAGGCAUCCAACUCGACGCCUAGUUGCGUGCGUGGUCCUCGACGACCAUAGUCUCGAACACGGAAAGAACGUCCUGCGAAUCUGUAACACCCUAGUUGUUAAGCAUACACUUAGUCUUACCAAAGCAAUGCAUAAGCAUUCUCAUCAAGCAUAGCAUCAUGAGCAUGUCAUUCAUCCCAAAAUAUGAUUUUAUGUGUUUUAUUCCAUGUGCUUUAAAUAUGUUCAAAAUAUGAUGCUUGCUUCUAAAAAUGUGAAAUAUUCAAACUAGGUUGAAUUGUGUGCAAGAAGAUUUAAGAAUAUUUUUUGUGCAAUUUUUGGAGUCAUAGAAUUUGAGAAAUGGAAUUUAUACAAAAUCCCCAAAAUGAGUUUAUUUGAAAACCUAGAACUAGUUUUAAUUUGUAAUUCAAAUUCUAUUUGGAAUUUGGUCUUGCUUAUUAAAACAAAGUUGUAGGGUUUUUGUUUUGGAACAACUUUGCGUUAGGGAGAAAGAGGUGAAAAUGAUUUUUAAAUUGGUCCAAAUGAAUUUAGAAAAGAAUUUGAGAAAGGAAAUUAAAAAAAAAAUGGAAAAGGGGCAGGCGUUGCUGGGCCAACCCUGCCUCCCUUUCGGCCCAGACAGCGGCUCGGCCUGCCUCCCCCUCCCCCUCUCUCCCGCGCGCAGACGCCCGCCUCGUCCCAGCCAGCGACGGCAACGUGGCGGCCGUACGCCGGCGAUGGGCGCGCCGCGGCCGACCGGCUUCACCUGGUCGGGACGCCGGCCCGAGCUCCCAGGCCGCUCCAUUCGUUCUGUCGCCCGCGCCCCUCCCUCCUCCCUCCGCUCGCGAGCGCAACCGAAGCCGUAGGAGCUCCGCCGCAGCGACAUCGCCGGAGCAGCUCCGCUGCUCACCGCCGGCCACGCCAGUGCCCCAACCUCGACGCCGAAACCACCAGAGCACUCGCCGUCGCCGCGGUAAGCUCCUGCGAACGUUUUACCGAAGUGAGAGCCCGUCGAGCGCCGUGAAUCGCUCGUCGGAGUUGCUCCGACCUCGCCGGAGAGCUCCGCCGCGUCGAAUCUCGUUCGUUUUCGCCUCGUUUCGCUUGCUUUUUGGCGCGUUAGAUCCGUAGUUCGACGAGGAAGCUCGGAGGAGCCCUUGCGCGUGUUCUACCGCACCGGAGCAGCCUGGCCACGGUGAGCAGCGCCGCCGUGCCGCCAUGCAUGCUCGUCGGAGGUGCUCCGGCCAUCCUCCGGCCAAUCCGAGGGUACCGCUGGGUGCGCCUCGCUGCGGGGAGCACGAUGGUGCUCACCCAGUGGCCGGGAACCUCACCGCCGACGAGAUCUGCUCGUCGGAGGUGCCCUCCCUCUCGGUAUCGCUGACCAGUGGGGUCAGAGGCCCACUGUGAGUCGCAGGGGGACCGCGUUGGGUGUACAUCUGGGUGCCUUUAGCGUUUUUGAUCCCGAUUUCGAUUUGAUUUUCAGAAAAUGUUUUCCAGAAAUUGAUUUAAAACUUGUAAAAUCCAUAUCUUGAGUUCUACAGCUCCAAAUCUGAUGAAAUAAAUUUUGGUGUGCUCUCUAUUUUCAGAUCUACAGUUUGAUGUAAUUGCAUGUCAUGUUUGAACACUUUUUCUGGACAGGAACAAUUAAUCCAUGCUUUUGCUAAACUUAUAAAAUGCAUAGUAAUUAAAAUAUGGCUCAGAAAAAUGUGAACUUGAUUUGUUGGCUCUGCAUGUAUGUUAACUCACUGGAAAAAUAUUGCUACACAUUAUUUGGUGUAUAAAUGAAUUUAUAGUGAUUUAAAUGCUUGCAUGGUAGUGGUUUAUGAUUUUUAAUAAAAAUUUGGAUCAUGCAAUUAAUCUGGAAAUAUUUGUGGAUGUUUCUUAUGAUAUUAGACAAAUUGUAAAAAUAUGAAAUCUGCUGUUUGACACUUAUACCACAGUAGAGUAAUUGUACUUGCCUUUAUGUAAUAAUCUUGUGAUUUUUGUAGCUCAAAAUAAGUAUCCAAAAAUUAUGAAAAAUUUAUAGUAGACUUUAUGCUUGACUGGUAGUUUCCUGUAAUUUUUGUGGAAUCUAUAGAUGAACAGAACUGCAUGCAAAUUUUUAUGGGCCUAGAAAUGAAUAAAGAAAAUUAUGAAUUGUUAUAUAUGGGUUAAAUAGAAUAAAAAGGGGUUUGGUGUAUCUUUGAAGCAUCAUGUGGAUUGCUGGUUACACUUGAAAACAAUUUGUAGAAGAGAAUGCAAUAGAUGUUUAAUUCAAUUGUCUGUUCUUGGAUGAUGUUGACUACCUUGUAAUGAGCGUGACCAAGUGAAUCACCUAUGCAUCAUGUCAUGAUCAUUUGGUACCUUCUCAUACAAGCAUCCACUCGGGCAUCUUGCACUCCACUCAUGAGCACACAUGCAUCAUACAGGCAAGCAGGAGAAUGAGGUGGGACCUGAGGAGCCAGAGGAGAUUAAGGAGCAGGAACCUCCGGAAGCACCAGAACCCGGAGAGGAGCUACAGGAGUGUCCGGAUCACCGGCCCAGCACGUUUGAGAAAGGCAAGCCCCGGAGCAUUCUAAGUCUCCCUAUUCUCGCUAACUUACAUGAUAUACUAUGCUUGUUCCACUAUACUACAUUUAAGUGAUAGGAAUUGCUUGAUACUGUUGAUGCAUAUGUACUCCUUGUUAUCCCUACUCAUUUAUCUACCUUGUCCUAUGUAGAUAGGCACGGAGUCUAUGCUUAGCUUGCUUAGUCCGGUAGAAGUCGGGUGAUUCCCUGUCACCUGUGAGAUAUAGGUGGAUACCUGCUUGAUUAAGCAGUGGUUGCUUUGGGAAAAGAAUAACCAAGUGUGGAAUGGAAUUGGAGACCGGGCAGGGUCUUAUGGUGGGUUGACCAUAGUGCCCCAGCCUGUGUCGAUUAAGGACCGAUCAUUGACGGCCCUCUUGUCAUGUUGAACGCAUGCCCCACAUUUAGCUGGAAGGAUAAGUCGUUCCGACCGCGAAGCCUGAGCACUAUCCGGGCCGGGAAUCGGCCCGAUGUACGCGCUGUAUUGGUGAUGGUUGAGGAGAACGACGAGGGCGCGGCGCGCAACCUUGGUAUACCUUGGAUACCUCGAUCGCCGGAACGGUCCUCGGGUACGGGCGGUGCCUGUCGAACCCGCGAAUUGGUCCUGUAGCUCACUUGAUCAGUGAGUGUGGUUUGUGUGGGGAAUAAAGUCGCCAGCUGGUUAGAAAUCGAUUCGAAUCGCCAUCGCUCCUGGAUAGUGAGCACUUGACAUGAGCUUCGUCCUCGUAGUAAGGACUAUGGAACACUUGGGUUAUAUUGAUAAAUGGUUUUGAGAAUGCUAUGAUGAGGUACUAUCAUAUCACUAUACUUGCUUGUAAUAGUGCACGUGCAAACCUAGAUAAUAAGUAAUGAUACUUUCAACUUGAGCAAAUUAAAAGAAGAAAGAUUUAUGUAGAUUAUGAUAAUAGAAUCCUGCGGUUAUGCAAAAUGGUUGUCAGCUACCCCACUAUAUAGCCUUCAUGAUCCUUGAAGAGUCUUUAUUUUAAGUUUAUGACGGGUAAGUCUAGCUGAGUACAUUCUCAUACUCAGGGUUCUACUCCCAAGUUGUUUUGCAGAUGGUCAAAUGUAGUAUGGUUAUUGCAUCCUCUGUCUGUACCCAGCCAUGGGUGAUGACUAGACCAAGGGCGAUGGUCAGUCCGUCUUCUCUUUUGCUUUUGUGGGAAUGACCGAACUAUGGCACUGUAUCAGACUCAGUGUGUGUGUGGUAUUUUCGAACUAUGAAGCUUCCGCUACUUGAAGAACUUGGUUUGUAAUAUUUUUAAGAACUCCGAUGUAUUUUAAGAAUGUUGAAAUCUGGAUGUACUUGUGGAUGGCGACCGCUAAACUUAUUACGAUCUUGGCUGUCUGUACGAUAUGUGGUUUGAAAUCCUUCGAGAUUUCACGGACUACCGGAAUUAUAUGGGCUUAAGCUCGAUGGUUUGACUAUGCAAAUGGUCACUGUUAGGCUUAAUCUCUUAUAAUUUGGUCGGUUCUGUUACAGCUGGCAUCGGAGCAAGGUUUAACGAGUUACUGUUCAUAAGUACGUUCUAAACAAAAUCUAAACUGGUUUAAUAAAAGAUUUUAUUAAUUAAUAAUGAUCAAGGUGUUAAACUAAGUUUUGGAAAACUAUCUAGUGUGCCAUGGUCAUAUCCUUUAUGCCCAGUUAAGGACUCUAAGGUGGCUAGUUAAGUACUGACUUGGGGGUUAAUGCAUCAUAUUUCUAUUUCGUAUGAGUACCAUUCAUUUGAGUGGUAAUGUAUGGAUCCAUUUUUCCUCUACGCCACGGUAAGUGGGAGAUAUGAGAGCAUGAUCGGAUACACUGCCGGUCUAGGGGAGUGUUGUUAGGUGCUGUGUCAUGCACACAUAUUUUGGUGUGCUUGGGGACAGUACCGCAUGUUGGGAAUUCCGUCCUGAGAGGCGAUGCCGUCAUUAGGGCGAUGAUGUGGGUAGUAACACUGUUGACACCGUUUUUGGGCACGUGUCUAGGAUGGCAGGAUAAGGUGGCAGUACGAUGUUUACAAAGCGGGUUGCCGAUGAGGAUGGUUGCCGAUGAGGGAGAAGUUGAAUGUGACAGGCAGUAAUAUGGUGCCGAUGGCUAGAUAAGAAAGUCUGCCGAUGACUAUGGCAAAGGAUCUGCCGAUGAUGCAAAGGAGGAGUCUGGAAGCUGCCGGUCGUUGUGUGGAGGAGUUUCGGUUUGUUACGAGGGAUAGUUUUGUUAUUUCCUUAAUUAUUUGCAUCGUUUUGUAUACGGGUUCCGUGUAAUUUGGAAUUCGAAUUCUAAUCGUGUCUGGUUGUAGCUCUUUGAGCAGGGUAUAAAUAUAGACCCUAGGGCCUUGUAAGAAAAAGCAAUCAGUCAAUCAAACAUACGUUUUUACUCAUAUUCCAGCAUCUACUUUUCGACGACUUCGUCAUACUUUUUUCCUUUUAUUACGAGUUCUUAGGAAUUCGUCGACUUAAGCUCGGCGUGUUCUCGAGUUCCGCCCCUUUGUGUUUGCAGACCAGUUUUGCAUCAACACAUCUUUUGGCACGCCCGGUGGGACCGAUUCAAGAUCAAGAUCAACAUGUCGAUCUCCGACCUCGAUCAAGAGAACGUCAUCCUCGUGACGGAGGCCAACCUCAAGGAUGAGCAGAAGCAAGCUAUUGCCCAAGCCAUGGAAGAGUUCAAGCAGCAAUGCCUGAGGUCUUUCAGCAUAAACAGGAGCGGCGAAGUGCUCCAGAAAGAUGCACUGCCGGCACCACGGCAGGUUACCUUUGACGCCAAUCCUGGCAAGCUUCAAGAUAUGGUUGACAAUGCCAUCAAUCGAGCAUUGAUUAACCAAGCUGGUGUACUGUCUAAUACGGUUUUCAAUGCCGUGGCAAGAACUUUCAAGGAAGGACAAAUCCCACCAGAUUAUGUGGGCCCCUCCCAUCAUCAGCCAACGGCACCAGAGGUCACGGCUCCAUCGGCUGCCUUGACGAAUGCAAGUGCACAGUCUGCCGUCCCUCCAAGUACAUUGGGGACUACUGGUGCACUAUCUAUGCCGAUGGCAACCAACCCACAAAUUUCAGCUGGGCAGCAUAAACUGACAACAGAUAUGUUGGCAUCGGCAAUGUCAGGGUUGACUCUUCCUCCCAACUGGUGGGGUUACGGUAUGCCUCUAGAGCUGACGCCGGGAACAUCACAAAUAACUGACAUGAGGGGCAAAACUCCUAUGACAUCGGCACCUCCCAAUGCGCCGGUGAACCAGAGUCCUCGGUAUACCACAACCACUACUGCAAGGCCUCACACUGGGAAUCCUCAAGAUUCAAUGUUCCAGAUGCCCAACGCAUCGGCAGAGUCAAUGCUGAUGCAACAGAGGCCUAUGGCCCAGUCGGGGUAUGUCAAUUCAACGACGGUACCCAAUUACCAAUCAUCGGCAGCACCUAUGCCGAUGAACGCUAAUAAUGGAUGGCUUGGACAGCAAGCCUUUCCACAAUCACCCCAACAGAGUUACCAGACUACAGGGUUCCAGCAAGGGCAGGUCUAUCCCGGGUUCCAAGGACAGGGGAUUCCCAACCAGCCAAUGAAUUUUGGACAGCAACUCGGAGGACAGCCAAUCGGUGGACAGCAGUUUGGUGGUCCGCAGAUUGGAGGACAGGUGAUCAAUACAAUGUUCCGUGCAGAUCACGUCCCGAACAGACACGUGGAGGUUCGCCACCAAGUGCCAGAUCCGCAGCCGCCUCAUCGGCAAGAUGCCGAUGCAUAUUGGGCCGAUAAGAUUGCUGAAGUAAUGAGGGAACAAUUUGGGAUAAAACCCAAAGUCAACACUUAUUCUUAUCGGACACCGUAUCCUCCCGCGUAUGAUUUGAUCCCGCUUCCACAUCGGUACAAGGUACCAGAUUUUACAAAGUUUUCCGGACAGGACGACACGUCAACCAUGGAGCAUGUCAACAGGUUCAUUAUUCAAUGUGGAGAGGCUGGUAACAGGGACGAAUUGAGGGUUCGUCUAUUUUCAUCAUCAUUGUCUGGAUCGGCCUUUACUUGGUUCAUAUCAUUACCUCCCAACUCAGUAAUUACUUGGGCCGAUCUAGAAAAGCAAUUCCACAAAUACUUCUUCUCGGGGGUUCAUGAGAAGAAGAUCACCGACUUGGUCAAGUUGAGGCAACGUAAUGAUGAGUCGGUUGAGGGAUUUGUGCAGAGGAUACGAGAGGUCAAGAAUAAACGCUAUAGCCUGGUUCUGGAUGAUCGGCAGCUAGCCGAUUUGGCUUUCCAGGGUUUGUUGCCACAUAUCAGGGAUAAGUAUGCCUCUCAGGAGUUCGAAAGUUUAAGUCAUUUGGUGCAGAGGAUUUCUGAUCAAGACAUCAAGCCUUUCGAGCCUAAGAGAGCAUGGAAUAAGAAAGUGUCGUUUGUUGAUGAAGCCACAAGCUCAGAUUCUGAUGAAGAACCAGUAAUCGGUUUGGCAAAGUGGGUAAAAAACAAGAAGCCGAUGUCUUGUCCUUUUGGGCAGAAGGAACCAGAGAAGUUUGCUUUUGACACCGCUAAGGCUGAUAGGAUAUUUGACUUUCUACUUCAGGAAGGUCAGAUCAAACUGUCACCUAACCAUGUGAUCCCAUCGGCAGAAGAGUUGAAGAGGAUGAGAUAUUGCAAGUGGCAUAAUGCAACUUCCCAUGACACCAACGAGUGCAAAGUAUUCAGACAGCAGCUGCAAUCGGCUAUAGAGUCAGGGAGAAUCAAGUUUGACAAUUCCAAAGCCCAGAAGCCGAUGAAGAUAGACCAACAUCCUUUCCCAACAAACAUGUUGGAUGCUAAGGGGAAGGCUAAGGUCUUAACAUCAGAGACAGCUGAGAAGAGUGCAUCGGUAGAUCCUCAGCAUCAAGUUACUACUGCCGAUGCAAGAAGUAAGGGCUUGGUCCAGGAGGGAACUAGCUCAGGAAGGCUUCCUCGAUCUGGUAUCGUCAUAACUCAUAGAAGGCCUCGAGAAAAAUGGCAACAACGGGAAGAUCGGUAUCGGCGCCAGCAGGAAGAUUAUCGACGGGAAGAAGAAAGACGCCGACAGGAGUGGAAUCAGCACAGGGAUCAUUGGAAUUGUCCAUUCUUCAUCAAUUGUUGGGAGGAAAAUAUCAAGCUUCCUAUUGUCAGAGACUGCCCUGAGUGCAACGGUUAUGAUCGGUACGAUAGGAUCGAUCGGCAUUAUCAUAAUGAUGAACGGCGAUUCAAUGGGCCGAUUAGAGGAAGGGUGUCAGUUCAUGACCGGCUGGGGGGCAGAUUUAGUGGUCACAACAGACUUAGUGACCGUGUCCAGUAUUUUCCCAGGAACCAAGAAGAGCUCGAGGGAAUGGUUGAUGCGCGGGUUCCCGAUGAAUUCAUAUUUUGCAGGGAUGCUAACACGCAUCGUAUGGAGUCAAGGGAGAACCGACGCCCGACGGCAAGGCAAAGGCCACUUCCUCCAUGGUGCCCUGGAGGAUUAACCAAAACACAGAAAAGGAGAUUGCAACGUGAAAGGCAAGAAGAGCUAAACAAGGGAGAGAACUCUGGAAGUCGGCAGCCGUCAGACACUAAGAGGGAAGGUCCAUCGGCAGGCGUCAACAUGGUCUUCAUGUUGCCGAUGGAGUUUCUUGCACCAGCCAGUGAUGAUGAGUUGGAUUUUCUGAUCAGAUAGCUCAGUUGGCUCUGGAUCCGAUGACGGCUAUCUUUGAGAAACCUGCCGAUGACGAGAGGCAGCAUCUUAAAGCUCUGUUCCUCAAAGGAAGGGUUGAUGGGCAGCCAAUGACCAAGAUCCUAGUUGAUGGUGGAGCUGCUAUUAAUAUUAUGCCGUAUGCAGUAUAUCGGAAGCUUGGGAAAGGGGAUCAAGAUUUGACCAAGACCGAUAUGAUGCUCAAAGACUUUGAAGGAAACGUGUCUCCAGUCAAGGGGGCGAUAUGUGCAGAGUUGACCAUCGGCAGCAAAACCUUGCCGACAACUUUUUUCGUGAUCAGCGGAAAAGGUGCUUACAACUUAUUAUUGGGAAGAGAUUGGAUUCAUGCCAAUUGUUGUAUCCCAUCUACAAUGCAUCAGUGCUUGGUUCAGUGGGUAGGUGACAAGAUUGAGAUUGUCCCAGGAGAUUCUUCUUAUGUUAUCGCAUCGGCAGAAGCGGAUACUUACGAAAGGACCAGGUGCAUUUCAGGAGAAGUUUGGGAGAAAGAUUUUCUCAAAGUUGCCGACUAUGAGAUUCCACCGAUCCAAGCAGUCGGUUCUGACGACGGUUUUUAAUGGAUAGAUUCGCCGAUGAUGGAAAAUUAGGCCAGGGAUUCACAUCGGCCGAUGAUUUGGUAGAAGUAGAUAUAGGUAGUGGUGAUAAGCCUAGGCCUACUUUUAUUAGUGCUAAAUUAGAUCCUGAGAGUAAGCGACAAUUGACUAGUUUGUUAAAGUAAUAUAAAGAUUGCUUUGCUUGGGAUUAUACAGAGAUGCCUGGUUUAGACCGAUCAAUUGUUGAACAUCGGUUACCCAUCAAGUCUGGAUUUCGGCCACAUCAGCAACCAGCCCGCCGAUGUAAUCCUAACAUUCUACCUGAUAUUAAGGCCGAAAUCACUAAACUUAUUGAAGCUAAGUUUAUUCGGCAGUGUCGGUAUGCCGAAUGGAUUUCCAAUGUUGUUCCGGUUUACAAGAAGAACGGGAAGCUUCGGGUGUGCAUUGAUUUCAGGAAUCUCAAUAAAGCUACGCCGAUGGAUGGAUACCCAAUGCCUGUCGCCGAUCUACUGGUUGAUGCUGCGGCUGGACAUCGGGUCAUCAGCUUCAUGGAUGGUAAUGCAGGUUACAAUCAAAUAUUCAUGGCAGAGGAGGAUAUUCCAAAAACCGCAUUCAGGUGUCCUGGUCAUGUUGGAUUAUUUGAAUGGAUAGUCAUGACUUUUGGGUUGAAGAACGCUGGUGCUACUUAUCAAAGGGCUAUGAAUUUUAUAUUUCAUGAGUUCAUCGGCAAGCUCGUAGAGAUUUAUAUUGAUGAUGUGGUGGUUAAGUCUGGAGAUUUCUCAAAGCAUCUUGCCGAUUUACGAAAAGUGUUAGAGUGCACAAGGAAGCAUGGAUUGAAGAUGAAUCCCAACAAGUGUGCAUUUGGCGUAUCGGCAGGGCAGUUUCUUGGUUUCAUGUUACAUCAGAGGGGUAUUGAAAUUAGUCGAAGAUCUAUUGAUGCCAUCAAUAAAAUAGUGGCCCCUACCAACAAAACCGAGCUCCAAUCCUUGAUCGGCAAGGUAAAUUUUAUCAGGAGAUUUAUAUCGAAUUUAUCUGGAAGGAUUCGUGCUUUCAGUCCUCUUCUUAAAUUGAAAGCCGAUCAAGAGUUUGUUUGGGGAGAAGAACAGCAGUUGGCUCUGGAUGAAAUCAAGAAGUAUCUAGUAAAUCCUCUAGUUUUAGUUCCACCUCAACAAGGGAAGCCAUUCAGAUUGUAUUUAUCUACCGAUGGAUCGGUUAUCGGUUCAGCUUUAGUUCAAGAAUUUGAAGGGAAAGAAAGGGUAAUUUAUUAUUUGAGUAGGAGGUUGAUUGAUGCUGAAACCAGGUAUUCGGCCAUUGAGAAACUAUGCUUAUGCUUAUAUUUUUCAUGUAUCAAGCUGAGACAUUACCUGUUAUCGGUCGAAUGCACUAUCGUUUGCAAAGAUGACGUGGUCCGAUACAUGCUAUCUAUGCCGAUUAUGAGUGGUAGGAUCGGUAAAUGGAUUUUAGCGCUGUUGGAGUUCGAUUUGCGUUACGAAUCGGCUAAGGCAGUCAAAGGGCAGAUUAUGGCCGAUUUUGUGACUCAGCAUUGCGGUCUAGUGGAAACCUUGGAAAUUGUACCCUGGACGCUCUUCUUUGAUGGAUCUACUUGUGACCGGGGGGCAGGAAUCGACAUUGUAUUAGUUUCCCCUAAGGGGAGGAAGUAUGAGUUUUCCUUGCCGAUUGUUGCCACAUUGACAAAUAAUCAGGCUGAGUAUCAAGCUCUGAUCAAGGGAUUGGAGUUGCUGAGAGAAGUUCGUGCUGAUGCUGUUGAAAUAUUCGGGGAUUCUAUGUUGGUUAUAAAUCAAUUGGCCGGAAGCUAUGAAUGCCGAAGUGAAGUUCUCAUAACGUAUUUCGAGAGAAGUAUGCAACUGUUAAAGGAAUUCAAGGAUUUCCGAUUGGAGCAUGUUCCCCGAUUGCAUAAUGAAGACGCUAAUCGGUUAGCUCAGCAUGCCUUGGGAUAUCAGCCAAUGAUUAAUGCGACAUCGGUAGUCGGUGCCGAUGAUUGGAGGAAAGAAAUUAUUGAUUAUCUAAAAGAUCCAUCCAAAAAAGUUGAAAGACGGGUUCGAUUUCAAGCAACCAAGUAUGUGCUCCUUGAAAAUGAAUUGUAUUAUCGAACUAUCGAUGGAAUUCUUCUCCGAUGCUUGGGUAAUGAUGAAGCUAGAAGUUUGAUGGGAGAAAUCCAUGAGGGAGUGUGUGGAGCGCAUCAGUCAGCUUUUAAGAUGAAGUGGAUGAUUCGAAGGAAUGGAUAUUUUUGGCCAACCAUACUUGAAGAUUGUUUUAAAUAUUUCAAGGGAUGUCAAGGUUGUCAAAAGUUUGGUAAUAUCCAGAGAGCACCCGCAUCGGCUAUGAAUCCUAUAAUAAAGCCUUGGCCGUUCCGGGGAUGGGCCAUCGAUCUGAUCGGCCAGAUUUAUCCACCAUCUAGCAAAGGGCAUAAGUUCAUUCUAGUUGCCACUGACUAUUUCACUAAGUGGGUUGAAGCUAUUCCUUUGAAGAAAGUCACUUCGGCUAAUAUGAUUGAUUUUUUGAAGGAGCAUAUUAUUUACCGAUUUGGGAUUCCCCAAACGAUUACUACCGAUCAGGGCACCAUGUUCACAUCGGGGGAGUUCGAUGAAUUCGCAAUCGGUAUGGGAAUUAAAGUGUUGAAUUCUUCUCCUUAUUAUGCUCAAGCCAAUGGGCAGGCCGAAGCGUCUAACAAAGGAAUUAUCAAGCUUAUUAAACGGAAGAUUGAAGAAAAUCCUAAGCGGUGGCAUACAUUAUUAAAUGAAGCAUUAUGGUCUUAUCGGAUGGCUUGUCAUGGAUCGACCAAGGUAUCACCCUAUCAAUUGGUGUAUGGACAUGAUGCAGUGUUGCCUUGGGAAAUUAAGGCUGGAUCUAGGCGAUUAUCUUUUCAAAAUCAAUUAACUUCCGAUGGUUAUGCCACUUUGAUGACCGAUGAAUUGGACGAUCUAGCAGGGCAUCGGUUAAAAGCUUUAAUGAGUAUAGAAGAGAAUAAGAAAAGAGUUGCUAGAUGGUAUGAUAAGAAGGUGAAGGCUAAAGAGUUUGCCGAUGGGGAUUUGGUAUGGAAAUUAAUUUUACCAGUUGGGACCAAAAGCUCGAAGUUUGGAAAGUGGUCUCCUAAUUGGGAGGGUCCUUAUCGGAUAAGUCGAUCGGCUCCUGGUAAUGCCUACAUUCUAGAAACCCUCGAAGGAAUUGGAUUUCCUAGAGCAUUAAACGGCAAAUAUUUAAAGAAGUACUACCCUAGUAUAUGGGUCGAUGCAUAGAAGUUUAGGUGCCGAUAACACUCCUAUCGGCUGGAUCCAAAUGCUUGGGGACAAGACUUGGUGUUUCAAAAGUUUAGGCGCCGAUAACAGUCCUAUUGGCUAGACUAAAAGCUGAGGAAGCAGGAAAGCACAGAUACAAUGCCGAUGGAAACUCUAUGUGUUAAGCAGCAUCUGGAUUGCCGAUAUAGCGCGUAGCCGAAUUUGGUUGGCUGCUUCUAUCUCCUUGAUGUCAUCAUCGGCAGAACCUUCUAUCGGCUUCAGCUUCUUCUUCAGUUGGAGUGCUUUGUGACCAUGAGCAUUUCGCUCGCGCUCAAGAAGCCUGAUGGUCUCUGGCAAUUGGCUCUCUUCCUGUUGGGCUUGGGACAACGCGUUCUCUAUUUCCUUAAGCUCCGCCAAUAGGGACUCUUUUCUUGCCGAUAGAUCGGAUAUCUUCUGCUUCAGCGCGUCUCCAGAAGAUCUCAGGAUGCCGAUGUUCUUGUGCUUCUCAUCGGUCAAAAGCUUUUCUUUCCUCAUUUCAUCGGAGAGUUGAGUCUGAGCGGCUCUAUCGGCAAGCCGCCGAGAAGCUCUUUGGUACUGCAGCUGGCGACUCUCCAGAUGAGCGGCUUGGAACAGGAUUUCUUCAACAUCGGUUGGGACUUGGCCUCUGAGAGUUCUGAACAGGGUCUUGGUAGGGUCGGAAUCAUCAACCAAUUGCGCUGUGUCCUGGUGAAGGAGAGCUGACAAUUCUUCCAGCCUGACCCUGACCUCUGCCGAUGUGAUGCCGACCGACUAAGAAGUGCUUGCUUCUUCACCGUCUUCUUCAGAGAAAUCGAUGGCGAAGGAGAACAGGCUAUCGGGAGAAUCUUGUUCCGGGGAGGGAAAGCAAAAUUAGCUCAUACUUAGAGAAUCGGCAAAUAAUGCUGGCGGUAAACAGUGACUUACUUGCUUCAAGGCGAUCUCUUGCCUUGGACUGGGAGGUGCUGACGGAGAUGCGGGCUGACCGGCCAAAGAUGCCGAUGGAACUACAGGUUUAUCGGCUAAGGUUGCCGAUGGGACGAUAUCGACUGAAAGAAGACAAGAAAGGUUAUGAGACUGAAUAAGAAUAAGUUCAUCGGUAGCGAUAUUGUUAAAGUAUGUUACCUGGAGGAGGGACGACAAUUGUAUGAAUCGGGAGAACUGCCGAUGGUAUAAUUGGACCCACCAGGCCAGUUGUUUGUUCACCCGUGUCAGCUGAUGUACCUUCUAUUUGAGAUCCUUCCUGUCGGGGUUCUUCUAUCUGUGGUGCUUCCUGCAUAGGUGGGGGAGAUGGUGCUUGCUGUGGCUGGGCUUCUGGAGAAGAAGGAGAAGACUCCACCGGAAUUGGAGAUACCGGAGGAGGAGGGGGAGUUGCUACCUUCUGGCGCUUUGUUCCAGUCUUAGCACCCGUGGUACCCUUCCUCUUUGGCUGGCUGGACUGGGUGACAUCGGCACCUUGACGUGUGACCUUUGCCGAUGCACUGGUUUGCUGCAAUAACGAACAGGGGUUUAUAAGUAUAAAUAAAGCCGAUAUAAAGAUAGUCAGCGUAAAAGAUAAAGAUUUGACAAAUUGCCUUGAAAGCCCGUGCUAGAGUGGGAGCAGCUACCGUUGGUGAUGUCUGGGUUCUCCUGGUCGUAACUUUCCUGAGGCGCACACCCCGAUGCACGAUGGAAGCCAGAGUGGGAGCAUUGUGGCCGAUUGAGGAAAUUGGGCCUGAUGGAAACAAGUCGAUCGGCUUGCCACUCCUGCUAACUGAUGAGGGGAUGUUAUCAACCUGCAAAAGGAAUACAAGGGUAAGCUACUGAUGGAAAUAAUGUUGAAAAAAUGAAACAUCAGUUGGAGAUAUUUACAGUAUCAUCGGGAAUUUCGUAUUCGGAGUCGAUCAUGCCGCGGUAUGAAAGGGCCGAUCUGCAGAAUAGAUGCUCUUUCCAUUCUGCCCACCAUAACUUGUAUGCCUGAGUGAUAAAAGCAGCCGGAACCCAUUCUGAUAGAUCUACAUCUGUAUCGGCGUUUGGUGGUAGUUGGGCUACUCGACUCCACUCAAGAAAGUUAUUGAUAGUUUCUCUGGGUUUUAUCACAUCGGCACAAGGAAGUGCGAUUGGCAACUGGCCGAAAGCUAACUGGCGAGCUAAUGCCGAUGGAUUGUAAAAUUCGUAAGUCUGGGGAGAAGUUUUUGUGCUACCGAAGAAAUUCACUGGAAUGGCUCUGGGAGUCACAAUUGCCAUCAUCGCUUCAUUGUCCCUGUUGAGAGCUUCAUCAAAUGGAUUGAAGGUCAGAGGGAGCAUGCUAUCUGGGUCAUCAUAAGCCAACCAGGGUCGUUCAUCUCUGGCCAAACCCUCAUACAGAGUCUCGAAGAAUCGGCCAAUUUGAUCCGGAUUACUCCCUGAACCAGGUAGGACUAUGACGGCUUCGCCAAAGUUCAAGGGGGCACGCGUUGCCGAUUCCUCUUCACCCAACACAUGAUUUUCGGCUAUAUCUCUUGGGAAGUGCUGUGAGAACAAGUUGAAAUCAAGGCGCUUAUGCAGGUGCAGAUUGAGCCACAUAUUAAUAAACCACCAGGGGCCUCCCAAGUUGCCGAUGGAUUGGCCAAGCAGGAGUUUCUGUGCUACCUGAUGGAGAAGGUGGUAAACAGCGCCAAGCAAGUAUCGGCCGAGAGGAAAUUGGCCACCGUUAGCCAGUCUCUCUGCUGCCGAUAGAUAGACAGAAGUCGGCCCUGCCGAUCGACCACAGAAUACAAACUUGUCCAGCCACAUGUUCAGAAAGGUGGUUUGCUCCUUUAUGGUGACAGGCCCUCUCCCGCGGUACUUCUGAAUGUACCCUGACCAACCGCCGAUAGCGCGAGUCUCCACUUUGGCACUGGGGGCAGUAUCAAAAAAGUGGGUGCUAUCGGCAGAAGAUAUAUCUAGCCCAGUGAGCAUGGCUACAUCGGUAAGGGUAGGAGAAGCAGGCCCGUGGCCAAAAACAAAAGCAUUGAGGGUGUCUGACCAAAAGUAGGACGCAGCUAUCAGCAGUGACUCAUUCUUGUGCAUAUCGGCAAUGGAUAGCCUAAUGCAUUGGGCUAGCUUCCUUUCACCCCACUGGACUUCAUAAGAAUUGCUGACCCUCAAGAACCAGUCUUUCCACCCUACGGUAGGGCUGGGCCAAGAGCGAAAAGUGUCUUUCCACAGAUCUAAAGAAAAGUUUUCAGCUCUAAAGGGGAUCCUAUUGGUUUCUGCGUUGAUAAGGUUGGUUGGAUCUGAAUCCCCUAGAGGGCCGAGACAUUGAAGGUGUGGUUGAUCGGUGGGGAUGACAAUUUUAUUGGACAACUCCUAGUGAUUUUGGGGGAAUAAAAAUACAAAGAAAAAGGAAAAGGAGAUUAUUCAGUAAGAUGAAUCGCGGAUGAACAGGAAUAAAAAUAUACAGAAGAUGAGAUGGAGAUCUGACCUCAGGGACGACGAAGCCAAUGGCCAUCUUGUCGUGAAGAGGACGUUGGAGGGCACCGGAGUUGAUGAAGAGGAAUGCUUGUCGGAGGUCUUGAAGGUUGUGAAUGGCGCCGCCGCUGGAAAAGUAAAGUUGGGUAGUAGAAUGGUGUGAUGGGGAAGGAGUACCCAAGAAGGAACUAUUUAUAGGACAAGAUGGGCAAGGGCAAAUCCGACUUAUCUCUUUGCCGCAUCCGAGAGACCCGAGGGUACUCAGGUGGAUAUGGCAACUGUUCGCACGGUAAUCCAGGGAUUGUGCAGGUGAUUUGACAGGAAGCGGUCAUUAUCUGAAGAUAUUUUACUGUGCGAGAUCUCCUGGUCGGUCCAUCGGCGAUAUUCUAUAACGGUCAUUUUGCCGAUGGGCGGAUAGAGGGGAAGUAACCGUUUUUGCGAAUAUCCUGGUCAGAGCAUCGGCAGAUCUUUGUAACGGUAUUGUUACCGAUGUACGACUGAGAAAAAUGCCCGUUUAGGAAGUUGGGGAUUUCGAGGAAUCUGCGGAGGAUUAGGAUCAGAGUUGUCCAGAUUGAGGUUGUCGGUUACCAGAUUAGGAGCAUUAAUUGCGGGAGAAGGCAUCAUUACUGCAGAGAAUUUCGGAGCAUUAAUAGUUUUACACUCCGAAACUGGGGGGCAUGUGUUGACACCGUUUUUGGGCACGUGUCUAGGAUGGCAGGAUAAGGUGGCAGUACGAUGUUUACAAAGCGGGUUGCCGAUGAGGAUGGUUGCCGAUGAGGGAGAAGUUGAAUGUGACAGGCAGUAAUAUGGUGCCGAUGGCUAGAUAAGAAAGUCUGCCGAUGACUAUGGCAAAGGAUCUGCCGAUGAUGCAAAGGAGGAGUCUGGAAGCUGCCGGUCGUUAUGUGGAGGAGUUUCGGUUUGUUACGAGGGAUAGUUUUGUUAUUUCCUUAAUUAUUUGCAUCGUUUUGUAUACGGAUUCCGUGUAAUUUGGAAUUCGAAUUCUAAUCGUGUCUGGUUGUAGCUCUUUGAGCAGGGUAUAAAUAUAGACCCUAGGGCCUUGUAAGAAAAAGCAAUCAGUCAAUCAAACAUAUGUUUUUACUCAUAUUCCAGCAUCUACUUUUCGACGACUUCGUCAUACUUUUUUCCUUUUAUUACGAGUUCUUAGGAAUUCGUCGACUUAAGCUCGGCGUGUUCUCGAGUUCCGUGUGAGUACCUCUUAGCCGUGACAUCCGGGCGCAUCGCUGUUGUCAGGACUAAAGUAUUCGAGUUAUCACCUUUGCCGAUAGUAAGGUCAAAUCGGCUGGCACGCAUUAACAUUUGAAUCGGGUAUUAGCCCUUUGUGUUUGUAGAUCAGUUUUGCAUCAACAAACACAUCAUAUGCAUGGACGGGUGUCCGUGUAUGUGGGGUGUAUAGUUUUAACAUUCUUGUUCUGCAUGAGCAUACUGUGGGUGGGCUGAAAUGAGUUUUCUGCAGGUACAUUAACCAUGUUCUCGCUUAGAACGCUAGUUACGUUAUGAGAAAACGCUGUGUGCCACCGCAUAUACCGCUUAGUGUUAACCUUUGUUUCUAAGUUGGUGAGAUCGUAAGUUCGUGCAUGCAUCAUGUUCAUUUCAUAUCAUUGCUUACUUUCCCCCUUAAUUUAAUCUGUCCCAAUUCUAAAUAAAAUAAUUAAAGGUAAUCCUCGAUCUUAACCAAGGUAUUCCAUUUGCAGCAGAUGGCACGCACUAGGCUCACCGCUCGCAAGUCCACUGGUGGGCGGGCCCCUCGCCAUCCGUUGGCAGUUAGGAGCUCACGACAUAAGAGCAAGUUCCUGGAGGAGUUUGGGAUGCCCACUUUGCUGUGGAGAGUGCUUAGCUCGAUGGGGUUGUUGACGGUCCUUAAGUAUCAAAUUUAAUUACCAAAUAAACAAAGAAAAGGAUCCAAAUGAAAUCAACAUCUAGACUUAGGGUUUUAUCUGACAGAAUUCCACGACUUUUGGUGUUUGUCUAUUUCUGCAGGGGGUUAUCAGGAAAUAAGGAAGAAAGGCCCACAUGUCGGGAUUACAUAGAGAUAUCAACCCACCGCGCAAUUUUCUACCAUCUAGAAGACUCCAGAAGCCACGGGAAGGAAGCGGAGCCCGAAAGGGGCCAGGCCCAGGGCGCCCACCCUGAGGACCUGGGCGCCCGCCCACCUCUGGACUCCAUUCCGGACUCUCUUCGCACACGACGUUCCACCGACCUAUUUGAUCCAGAAUAACAUAGUACCACCUCGCCUAUCGACCCAAAAACGCAUAGAAGGGGACGACUAUAUAAGGAGACCCCCUCUGGCCCCUGGAGGAGACAAGAAAUUAUCAUAGAGAUUGAGGGGUGCCCUCGCAGGAAAACCUCUUCUCUAAAUAAUAUUUCUUUUUAGGCUUAGCAACCAAUGUAAAGUAGAAAUAGAUCUUCUAGUUUCUACUAGAUUGAGAGAGAUAGAGUGGAGGUGUGGAUCGGAGGAAGGCCGGCCUGUCGGUGUCUACUCCGAGUUGUACCUGCGGGAUCAAGUCUCCUAACCCGAGGCUUGCUUCUAAGAUUCUUCAGUAAUUCGACUUCUAAUACUAGUAAGUUCUUAUUUUAUUGUUCUUUGGUUUAUGAGUUUACUUUAAUCCUCUUCCGGUAGAGUAUUAGAGUAAUCACUUGCUAGCGUAAAUGUGGUGUUUAGGCUAGGGUACUCAUAGAUAUCCCCUGACUAGCUGGACCGUGGUAGUAGCGAGGAACGUGACAAUUCCGAGUUACCUUUGCAGAUCACAUCUCGUUAGCGGGACAGGUAGGUUUAUAGGUGCGGGUCGAACAUCCUUUGUGUUGUCUAGAUUCCGUGAGCCUCCCCAAUAGAACAGUAGAUCAUCCUUACCAAGGUUAGAACGAGACUACGGUUGCAGUCUUCUCUAUACAUCACUCACAUCGAGAGACAUUCUUUGUAGCCUAAAGGGAUAGUAGCAAUAGAUUUGGUUAGUCAGAUGCACCCUUUCUCCCAGUGGUAAAAAUAUAAAUACGAUAACUCUGGAAAACCUCCCGGGUGAAAUGCUCACCGAUAUCCGUGCGCUUGCGGAUCAUUUUCUAAUUGCGUUACCAAAUAUCAACAAGCAUUUCUGGCGCCGUUGCUGGGGAGAAAGACGGUUUGCUGAGAUAACUUUGAGUCUUGCUAUUAUCUUGUAUUAUACUUUUGUACUUUUAUUCUUUUAUCAUUUUAUUUUUAUUUUUAUGGAUAACUCAAAUUCCAUACCUAUUAUUGAAUUCUUUGCACCUUCGGAGACCAGCCAUAGACCAUGGGAGUCAACACAUCCUGCCCCUAAUCAAUUGGUCUCUCCAUCCUUAUCACAUUUGAGAUCUCCAACCCUCUCUUCUUUUCUAUUUAUAAAAACUUUGAAAGAGCGGUUGUCGAUGCAUAUGUCUAUAAUAAAUAUUGCAGAUCUCGUUGAGUUAAUUGAUGGUUUCCCAAGGACAAGCUUAGUGUCCUAAAACAAGCACUUCUAAUUAUUUGCAACAUUGCCUUGUGUAUUGAGCAUAUAAAGAUAAUUGUAGAAAUAUUCCUUCGGGUAUUCUUGUCACUAACCUUUCCAGGAUUGGAGCAAGAAGAUCGGAUGAAUGACAAGCACAAGGUAUGUCCAACCAACCAUCACACAAUAUUGAAUUAAAUUCAUCCAAACUUGAAUUUUGCAAAAUUCAAGCUUGGGGGAGUACUUCACAUAAAAACAUCCUUUGCCAUGUUGCUAUGUUGGUUGUCCUUACCUUUGAGAGAUGCUCAAUUUGUUAAGUACUAAUUACACUACUUCACCUCCAUUUGAGUAGAUCGCUAUAAAUGCUCUCAUGCUACCUUUAUUUGCUUUAGUAUAUGUCUAGGUUUGGAGUAGUUUCAUUUAUCUCUUAAAUCAAGCAUGGUGCUUAGUUUAGGAAUGAUGAUCUUACUUCCAAAGGAUUUUUAAAUUAAGCAUGGUGCUUAGGUUAAAAUGCCCUCCUAAAUAAAAUUAGACAUGGUGUCUAGGUUGAUUUUUGAGCCGAUAGUACGCUAUAGUAGAUAUGGGAUAUUUUGUUGGACUAACCCCUACAGGAAAACUUUCAAUAUCAACCUGGGAAGUCCUGAGAUACAAACUCAUUGGAGAUAAAGGAGACACAUGAAGUUUAACAAUUUGCACAAGAAGGACAUAGCUCAUUCAUCAUAAAGAGAUGAUCCAUGGAGGGUGCCACAAACACGAUGCAAGGAAAGCUUCCACAAGGUGAUACUGUACCGUCACUCUUCAAGUAAGGUAACAUUUUAAGGUACUUGACUAUCACUUUUAUAAGCUUCUCCUUGGUUCUAGUGUUCACAUAAAAUAAAGAGAUAAACAUGUGUGAUUUGUAGCUCCAAAUUAAUCAACCCAAUUAAUUCAACAUGUUUAGUCCUUUAAUCUUUGUUCUUAGUACUACCUUCGUGAUCCCACACUCCUAAUCAUAUAAGCUAAAGUAUUACACAUUCAAUCUUUGGAAGAUAUAAACAAAACAUAAAAAUAGAUAGAUUAUCUUUCCAUUAGGUUGAGCCAUCUGAUCUAACACAUGUUUUAAAUGCUACACUCAUGAUCCAUCAACUUUGUCUUACUCACUAUGCUUAAGGUUAGAGAAGAACAAAUACACUUUUGGUUCUGUUGGUGUUUUCCACCAACAGAGCCCAUGCACUUGAUCUCUGCCUUGUCUCUAUGAGCAGGACACAUUUUGAGAAACAUGAAGGCGUUUUACAACUACCAGAUUCCAUCAAGUAAAGAACCGGGAUCUACGAGCACAAACACAAUGGAGAUCAGACACUUAGUUUCCCAAAGGAAAUAUUGAAGAACCUCUGUGUCCGAGUUGGUACCUUGUACGCUCCAGCAAACUUUGUGGUGAUAGAGAUUGGUACUGAGGAGAGGGCACCCAUCAUCUUAGGGAGGCCAUUCCUAAACACUAGAGCUGUCAUCUACGCUAAUGCUGCCAAGAUCAGUCUCUACAUCAAGGGGAAGAAGGAGACUUUCCUUCAAGAACAAGACUACACAAGCUUCAGAGCAAUCCCGACAUAAACCAAGGAAGAGGACCAACAGGAGGAACAGGAACAAGCAAAUGUGGACCGAGUCAGCUAAGAUGGUCACUGCAGCUCAAGGAGGUCAGGAUCGUCGACUCAAGUCACCUUUCUUGAUCAAGAAGGAUGACCCUGGUGUUCCAAGAAUCGAAUGCACAAACAAUGGAUACGCUUUUUAGAAGACACUCUACGACACCAGAUCUGACGACAACAUAAUGGCCGCAGUCACUUAUCAGCUCCUGCAUAGAACCAUGCCCCUACAACCAAGAUACAUUCAGCUUCAAACAACUUUUAGGUCAUUGACAUGGGAGAAGACAAGUAUGAUCCAUCCACCAUCCUUGGAAGACCGUUCCUAAACACUAUCAAAGCCAUUAUCUAUAUUGGAACCGGAGAAGUCCACAUGCACUUCCCCUCACAGAAAGGUACGCCACUACUUUAAUGAUUAUAUAGUUGAAGAUUCUAAGUAGGUCAGGAUAAGAAGAAGACAACGCAACUGCAACCAGAGGAGGCAAAUCAUCAAGGACGGAUGGGUAGACUACGAAGGAGAAAUGAUAAGGUCUGAAGACAUACAGCUUGAAUAGAAAUGUCCAGAGGAGACCGUAGCACCGAGUCAGAAAGAGAAGAUAGUUAUACACGAAAAGGAGACGCCACCGGAAUCACCGACUACGUCAUCCAGUGAAUCCCAGGAUGACUGAGAAAACGGAGAGUCCCGUUCGGAGGACUUAAAAACACCGAACGCCUUGCCAAGAGGUAAACUUGGUAGUUAUCCUUUCCCUUUUAAUUAUUUCAAAUAGUUUACUUAGUUAAUCAUGUUCGUAUUAUCCUAGAAAGAAAAUAAAAAAGUGAAAAAAACUGUAAGCCCCAUGUGAGUAGACGAGUGGCAUAAAACCCAUAAGUACAUUCACUGUGGUGGCAUAAAAAUAAAAUAAAUAUUUUUUGCUUUAUAAAAAACAAAAAUAUAAAAACAGGGAGUAAUAUUUAUUAAGGAGUCUCAACAUGAUAAAGGCUAGAUAUUUAUGCUAACACUUAAUCAGUUCCACAAGCUUUGUUGUCUAUUUGAGCUCCACAAAAUUUAAGAAUCAAGAAGACUAGCAGACGAAGGACAUUCUAAUCGCUGUCAAAAUACUGCUGACUUUCAAACACACCUCUGCCACCUGCUAGCUACAUCAAGAGAAAUUACGUCAAAAUUCAGCUUGGGGGAGAGCACCCCCAUUUAUCUCGAUAAGUAUUUCUAUCUAUCUUUAUACUUAUACUAUAUUAGAAUAUAAAUACACAUAACUAUGAAAAACCAAAUAAAGAUUUUAUGCUUAUAUAUAUUUUGCUUAGUGUGUUUAAUAAAUAAAUAAAGUGGCCAUGCUAAUCUGUAUCUAAUAAAACUUAAGCAUGGAUAUGAUGAAUAGUUGCUCUGCCUAAUUUGCAAAUUUGAAGUUCUCUCUCAAGUUUAGAUAUAACUGUUAUAAUUUAAGGCUUGCUCUAGACCUAAACUUGUGGGAUGAAAACUUGAUCUGAAGUCUAAGUUGUUAAUGGAUACGAUAUGGGAAGGUUGAGCUGCUGCUUAUCUGUUCCUAGAGAUGCUAGAAUUCUGGAGAAUUUUAUCUUUGAAAAUCUAUAAAAUGUUGCAUGAUGAGUUCCUGUAUGAUGAGAGUUUAAAUUCCUACCACAGCUAUAUAUACAUGCUUGCUAGACCUUGAGACACACACUUACUAUUUACUACUUAUGAGCAUUGAGUGUGGUCAAGCUGUGUAGACCCUUAGGAGCUUGUCAUGUGGUUAAAUCAAGAUUCACUUGCACGUUCACUCAUACAUGCUACUUCUCCUCCGGAAGUACCAUCCACAUAUGUCCACUCAUUUCCAUCUCCAAAACCACCCAAAAGUAUUUUACUCCUAAUCCGGGAGAGAAUAACCAAAAAUAUUUCUGUUUCCCCUUGUGAAAUAAAUGCUCAAGUUAUCUUGUUACUACCACUUGCUAUAUUAUCUCAAGAGAUGAAUGCUCUGAAAAAAAAGAGAGAAAAAGAAAAUAAAAGAUAUGAGGAAAUAAAAAGGAGCAAGUGCUCGGAACCUCGAAAGAAAAGAAAAAAAGAAGAGCAUCUCAUUCUCCUCAUAAAGUUUCAAAAGCAAGGAAGGUAUGUAUCCCCUCAAAGAGCAAAGUAGAAAUAGACUUCCACCACCAUUGUUAUCACCAUCAUCACCAUACACCAUUCAUUCGCCACACAUGCACAUCUUGAUUUGACUUAUUGAUUUGUUUCUUUGGAUCCAUGGUUUGACUAUGCAAUAAAUGUCUUGUAAGUAUGUAUACUUUAUCUCCCACCUAUGAGCUCCAGAUAUUAAAGCCUUAUUAGAGUAGGGUGAGAGAGAAGACAAUGUCACUAUGCUUCAUACCACAAAUACUACAUAUCUUGAGAGAAGGCAUAUACCAUCACAGCCUUGGUAAGGAUCCAAAAAUACCACAAAAGAGAGACCUGAGAGAAUCAUACAAGGAAUUUCUGAGUUUUAUUUGAAAAUCUGCAAAAACCCCAAAGCUAUAGCUGAUCAAGAAUAAGAGACAUGGCACUUGGCUAGACUGUUCUAUCUUUUAACCACUCAAGACAGAAGUGACGGUUACAAGUCCUAUAGUGUAGGUAAAGUAAGUAAGUUUUAAGUCUUAACAGUUUAUUCUAACUCAGAGAUGAGAUCUUGCUUAAAUGCGUGUGUACUUCUAAGAAAUGAAACCACUGCAGAAACUCUUGAGUUCAUCCUUGCUCAGGGACGAGCAAGAGGUAAGCUUGGGGGAGUUUGUUGACGGUCCUUAAGUAUCAAAUUUAAUUACCAAAUAAACAAAGAAAAGGAUCCAAAUGAAAUCAACAUCUAGACUUAGGGUUUUAUCUGACAGAAUUCCACGAGUUUUGGUGUUUGUCUAUUUCUGCAGGGGGUUAUCAGGAAAUAAGGAAGAAAGGCCCACAUGUCGGGAUUACAUAGAGAUAUCAACCCACCGCGCAAUUUUCUACCAUCUAGAAGGCUCCAGAAGCCACGGGAAGGAAGCGGAGCCCGAAAGGGGCCAGGCCCAGGGCGCCCGCCCUGAGGACCUGCGCGCCCGCCCACCUCUGGUCUCCGUUCCGGACUCUCUUCGCACACGACGUUCCACCGACCUAUUUGAUCCAGAAUAACAUAGUACCACCUCGCCUAUCGACCCAAAAACGCAUAGAAGGGGAGGACUAUAUAAGGAGACCCCCUCUGGCCCCAGGAGGAGACAAGAAAUUAUCAUAGAGAUUGAGGGGUGCCCUCGAAGGAAAACCUCUUCCCUAAAUAAUAUUUCUUUUUAGGCUUAGCAACCAAUGUAAAGUAGAAAUAGAUCUUCUAGUUUCUACUAGAUUGAGAGAGAUAGAGUGGAGAUGUGGAUCGAAGGAAGGCCGGCCUGUCGGUGUCUACUCCGAAUUGUACCUGCGGGAUCAAGUCUCCUAACCCGAGGCUUGCUUCUAAAAUUCUUCUGUAAUUCGACUUCUAAUACUAGUAAGUUCUUAUUUUAUUGUUCUUUGGUUUAUGAGUUUACUUUAAUCCUCUUCCGGUUGAGUAUUAGAGUAAUCACUUGAUAGCGUAAACGUGGUGUUUAGGCUAGGGUACUCAUAGAUAUCCCCUGACUAGCUGGACCGUGGUAGUAGCGAGGAACGUGACUAUUCCGAGUUACCUUUGCAGAUCACAUCUCGUUAGCGGGACGGGUAGGUUUAUAGGUGCGGGUCGAACAUCCUUUGUGUUGUCUAGAUUCCGUGAGCCUCCCCAAUAGAACAGUAGAUCAUCCUUACCAAGGUUAGAACGAGACUACGGUUGCAGUCUUCUCUAUACAUCACUCACAUCGAGAGACAUUCUUUGUAGCCUAAAGGGAUAGUAGCAAUAGAUUUGGUUAGUCAGAUGCACCCUUUCUCCCAGUGGUAAAAAUAUAAAUACGAUAACUCUAGAAAACCUCCCGGGUGAAAUGCUCACCGAUAUCCGUGCGCUUGCGGAUCAUUUUCUAAUUGCGUUACCAAAUAUCAAUAGGGGUAUCCUGAAGGAAGGGAGCCUCGCUACUAUUGGGAUAAGGAGCUGCUUGGUGACGGGACACUGGUGGGGAUCGAGGCAGUUGUCCCUACCAGUGGAGGAGACCCCACUUGGGGCGGCUGGGUGUAUGAGUCCCGAGGUAUCACGCCUUUCCACGGUGCCAGCAGGGCAGCUUUCGCAGUUCUGAGGGACCUCAUGGAGAGGUUUCCACAGGAGCUGGCCCACGCCUUCGCUGGGGUGUUUCCUCGGGGUGACCCCUACACUUCGGUGUGGGAUCAGUCCGAGGUGAACGCUCUAGAGAGGAGUGCGGAUGAGGACCAGCACAGUGACAGCGCAGCUAUGAGUGCUAUGUACGCCUUGAUGAAGACCUAUGGGGGCCUGGAGCGUUGUUUGGGUCGCUUGUCCGGGUCUCUUCUCACUAUCCAGGAUGAGAAGCGCCAGUUGCAGUGUGAGUUCGACUCGGAGGUUGAGAGGCUGCAGGCAGAGCUGGCCCGCGUGACCCGAGAGAGGGACCAGGCGGUCCAGAAGAACAGUGAGCUGAGCCAGGACCUGCUUGCAGUGUGAGAGCAGAGGGACAGGGUGACUACUGCUCACAGGAACUGCGAGCGCAUGCUAGUCCAUGUGCUUGGUCAGAGGAAUGAAGCCUGGCACGAGGAGGACACUUUGAGGGCCCGACAGCUAGAGCUAGAGCAGCAGCUAGCUAAUGCUGAGGAGUACAAUGAGAACUUGCAUGAGGAGAUCCACCAGCUGCAUAACCAGCUCCACCCUCAUCACCUGCCUGGAGCAGCUGACCUAGACUCUGAGGACGAGAUGGAUGAGGAUCCCGAGAUAGGAGCAGCUGCUAGUGGAGAUGAGGACGAGGAGGGCUCCGACAUGGACAGUGACCAUAGCUAGUAGAUGCUAGGGCUCAAGAGCUAGUCCUUCUUCUUUUGUUGUUGUAUGUUGCAUGGCAUGUCUUGUACUUUUGGAUCUGAGCCAUGUAAAACUUUAUGAGAUGAUGUGGGAAGUCCAGUGUAUGUAUGCUGGCAAUUUUGAACGUAUGUGAACAUUGUUGCUUGAACGAUAAGUAAUAUGUUAGUGAUGUUGUGCGUGGAUGAUGAAUUGUUGUGCUUCUAUUUAUUGUGCGAAUUUAUUCCCUCAGUAAAUUCAGUACGGCAUAAUUCUACACAUGUCUACCAUUGAUGGCAACUCCUAACAAUUGCUUAUCAUUGACGUAUGCAGAUGGUUCAAACACGUGGCGGGGGUAACAGCAACCCGGGUCUUGGAGCGGGUACGUCCGGAGGUGGGGCUCAACGGAAUGAGGACAGAGCACCAUCACCGCCACCACCACCUCCUCCGUACACUACGGACGUGUUUUUCGCGUAGUUUCUGGGAAGCCAACGCAACAUGGAACAAAUGCAGCGCAACCUGGAAGAAGCUCUGCGCAACAUAGCUGGCAACACCCGUUGUCGGGAUAACCAGGGCGGCCGUGAAGUCAAUCAGUACAGCUCUUUCAAGGACUUCAUAGAUACCAAGCCACCAGUCUUUAAGGAGGCUUUGGAGCCGCUCGAGGCAGAUGAGUGGAUCAAUACCAUGGAGCAGAAGUUCUGUCUUCUUCGGAUGACAGAAGAACUCAAGGCUAAGUACGCAGCACACCAGCUUCAAGGACCCGCUGGAAUUUGGUGGUCCCAUCACCGUACUACCUACCCAGAGGGGACCCCAAUCACCUGGAACCGCUUCACCACCGCUUUCUGGGGAAAUUACAUUCCUCCGGGUGUGGUCGAAAUGAAGGUUGGGGAGUUCAUGAGGCUGUCCUAGGGGACGAAAUCAGUGAAAGAAUAUCUACACGCUUUCAACAAUCUCGCUCGCUACGCCCCUAAGUUCGUGAACACGGAGGCCAAGAAGAUUGCUAGUUUUCAGAGAGGAUUGAACCCAAAGAUGCUGAAGACCAUGGGUACAGGGACCCGGGCUACCUUCAAUGCUUACAUCAGUGACUGUCUAACCCAAGAAAACAAUAACAACAACUACAGUGCAUCCAAGUCACGUAAGAGGGCUUUUGAAGCCGGAUCAUCCCAGCCUAGGGCACCAGUGGCGGGGCGACAACAGUAUCGUCCUCCUGCCCCAGGUGCUAGGUUCAGACCGCCGCAGAGAAGGAACACCGGACAUCCAACGCAGCAGAAGCCGUACAAGGUGGCGAUAGCUCCUGCCAAGCCAAAGGCAAUUCAAGCUGCAGCACCUGCCGCCAACAAUGCGCCCAAGGGUCCGUGCUACAACUGCCACAAGAUGGGGCACUUUGCUAAGGAAUGUCCCUUCCCCAAGAGGCAGCAGCCAACCUAUCCAGCUUGUGUGCACCAUACCUCGAUCGAGGAGAUCCCGGAAGGAGAACCGGUAACAGCUGGUAUGUUUCCUGUCAACCAACAUCUUGCAGUUGUUUUGUUUGAUUCUGGAUCAUCGCAUUCAUUCAUGAGCCAAGCAUUUGCACAAAAGCAUGACCAGCCAGUUACUGAGUUGGGUUAUGGCUAUCGCAUCAGCUCAGCCGGGGCUGAUGUGUUGACUAACAAAACAGUAACAGGAGUUACCUUGGAUAUCAGUGGCCGAAGGUUUCGUGUAAACCUUGUGGUCAUGCCAGGGCUGGUUUUGGAUGUCAUCAUUGGAAUGAAUAAGAUGACCGACUGGGGUGCAGUUAUAGAUGCUUGGAAUAGAACUCUUUCCCUCAAAGACCCGUAGGGGGAAGGUCUGCUUCAGGUCAGGCUACCCCGACGGUUAGACUUUGCUAGUCUUUCAUGUGCAGUACAGGUGGUUCCACUAGAACACAUACCCAUGGUAUGUGAGUUCCCUGAUGUUUUUCCUGAGGAAUUGCCAGGACUUCCUCCAGAUAGGGAAGUAGAGUUUGCAAUCGAGUUGAUACCAGGUACAGCACCAAAAUCUAGAAGGCCGUACCGGAUGCCACCAAACGAACUCACUGAGUUGAAGAAUCAACUAAAGGAGUUACUGGAUAAAGGGUUCAUCCGGCCAAGUUCAUCGGAAUGGGGUUGUCCACCGUUGUUUGUGAAAAAGAAGGAUCAAUCGUUGCGCAUGUGCGUGGACUAUCGUCCACUCAAUGCAGUGACAAUCAAGAAUAAGUACCCCUUGCCAAGGAUCGAUAUAUUAUUUGAUCAGUUGUCCAAGGCAAAAGUGUUUUCCAAGAUAGAUUUGAGAUCUGGGUAUCACCAAAUCAAGAUUCGUCCGCAAGAUAUCCCGAAGACUGCUUUUUCCACCAGAUAUGGGUUGUAUGAGUAUCUGGUCAUGUCCUUUGGGUUGACAAAUGCUCCUGCAUACUUUAUGUAUUUGAUGAAUUCAGUCUUUAUGCCAGAAUUAGAUAAGUUUGUUGUGGUGUUUAUCGAUGAUAUCCUGGUUUAUUCAGAAAAUGAGCAAGAUCACGCCGAGCAUCUGAGAAUUGUGUUAACACGAUUACGAGAGCAUCAGUUAUAUGCCAAGUUCAGCAAGUGUGAGUUCUGGAUGAAGAAAGUUCCUUUCCUAGGGCACAUUCUGUCUGAAGAAGGGAUUGUUGUGGAUCCGUCAAAAGUGCAGGAAGUUAUGGACUAGAAGGCACCAACUUCUGUCUCGGAAGUUAGAAGUUUUCUUGGUCUGGCCGGGUAUUAUCGUCCUUUCAUACCUGACUUCUCCAAGAUUGCUAAGCCAAUGACAAGUUUGCUACAAAAGGAUCAUAAGUUUUUCUAGACGGAGGGGUGUGAGCUAGCCUUCCGCACCUUGCAAAAGUUGCUAACCACUGCUCCCGUUCUGGCGCAACCCAAUAUCGAAAAGCCUUUUGAUGUGUUUUGCGACGCGUCAAAAAGUGGCUUGGGGUGUGUGUUGAUGCAAGAUGGCAGGGUGAUAGCUUAUGCUUCAUGACAGUUGAGAAAGCACGAAGUCAACUACCCAACUCACGACCUCGAGUUAGCAGCAGUAGUGCACGCUUUGAGGAUUUGGAGACACUAUCUGCUAGGAAAUAAGUGUCAUAUUUAUACCGAUCAUAAGAGUUUGAAGUACAUCGUCACUCAGUCCGAGCUGAAUAUGAGGCAACGACGGUGGUUAGAGUUAAUCAAGGACUAUGAUUUGGAAGUUCACUGUCAUCCAGGCAAAGCUAAUGUAGUAGCAGACGCUCUGAGUCAUAAACCGCACUAUCAAGUGGUUCAACCGUUGUUUGAAGAUGGUUUUAACCUCAUGCAUCCUGAAGUCUUAUGCCACAUACAGCUCAGUUGCUCACUUGAGAGUCAAGUCAUCGAGGGUCAGAAGACAGACAAGGGUAUUUUCCACAUCAAGGAGAAAAUCAAAGAUGACCCAAAAACUCAGUUUCGAGUUGAUGAGAAAGGGGUACUGUGGUUUCAACAUCGGUUAGUAGUCCCGAAGGAUCGGGAAUUGAAGAAUCGCGUCAUGGAUGAAGCCCAUCUCUCUAAGCUUUCUAUUCAUCAUGGCAGUAGUAAAAUAUAUCAAGACCUAAGACCCCACUUUUGGUGGACCAAGAUGAAGAAAGAAAUAGCCGCAUAUGUGGCCCGUUGUGACACGUGUUGCAGAGUUAAGGCCAUCCAUAUGAAACCUGCAGGUCUGUUGCAACCGUUAUCAGUUCCAUAGUGGAAAUGGGAAGAGGUCAGCAUGGACUUUAUCACAGGUUUACCAACCACGAGGAAGGGGAAUGACUCGAUUUGGGUAAUCAUAGAUCGAUUGACCAAGUCGGCUCAUUUCAUUUCAGUUAAGAACACAUAUAGACCUCCCGAGUAUGCCGAUAUAUAUAUGGCUGAGAUUGUCAAGUUGCAUGGUAUUCCCAAGACCAUCAUAUCAGAUAGAGGACCACAGUUCACCGCUCACUUCUGGGAGCGAAUGCAUAAGAAUUUGGGGACCAGUCUGAUAAGAAGCACGGCGUACCAUCCCCAGACCUCAGGUCAAACUGAGAGGCUAAAUCAAGUAUUAGAAGAUAUGCCGAGGGCCUGUGUGCUAUCGUCCAAGGGAUCAUGGGAGUCAUGGAUACCUCUGGCUGAAUUCUCAUACAAUAACAGCUACCAAGAGAGUAUCAAGAUGGCCCCGUUCGAAGCUUUGUGUGGUCGAAGGUGUAGAACUCCGUUAAAUUGGGAUGAACCUGGUGAAAGGAGAUACUAUGGUAUCGACUUCGUGAAUGAAGCAGAGAAAAAAGGUGCAAAUCAUACAGCAGCAUAUGCGGGCAGCCCAAUCGCGACAAAAGAGUUAUGCUGAUAAGAGAAGAAGACCACUUGAAUUCAAAGUAGGUGACUAUGUGUACCUCAAGGUUACGCCAAUGAAGAAAGUUCAACGUUUCCGAGUUCGACGCAAGCUUGCACCCCGAUAUGUGGGACCGUAACAAAUACUGGAGAGGAAAGGCCCCGUGGCCUACAAGAUUCAGUUACCUGAAGAGUUGAGCUCGAUCUUUCCGGUCUUCCAUGUGUCGCAGCUACGAAAAUGUUUGAAAGUACCUGAGCAGAGGAUUGAACCUCGAGGGAUCAAAAUAAAAGCAGACUUAUAGUAUAAAGAGCAGCCAGUGGGAAUUGUGGAUACCAAGGAACGAGUGACCCGAAACAGAGUUGUCAGAACAUACAAGGUGGUGUGGAGUCAUCAUGACGAUAGGGAUGCCACCUGGGAAACCGAGGAUUACCUGAAAACAGUUUAUCCAAAAUUUCAUAAGAAAUGGUUAGUAACCCAAAAUCUCGGGACGAGAUUUCCCUAAGGGGGGAAGGGCUGUAACACCCUAGGUGUUAAGCAUACACUUAGUCUUACCAAAGCAAUGCAUAAGCAUUCUCAUCAAGCAUAGCAUCAUGAGCAUGUCAUUCAUCCCAAAAUAUGAUUUUAUGUGUUUUAUUCCAUGUGCUUUAAAUAUGUUAAAAAUAUGAUGCUUGCUUCUAAAAAUGUGAAAUAUUCAAACUAGGUUGAAUUGUGUGCAAGAAGAUUUAAGAAUAUUUUUUGUGCAAUUUUUGGAGCAAUAGAAUUUGAGAAAUGGAAUUUAUACAAAAUCCCCAAAAUGAGUUUAUUUGAAAACCUAGAACUAGUUUUAAUUUGUAAUUCAAAUUCUACUUGGAAUUUGGUCUUGCUUAUUAAAACAAAGUUGUAGGGUUUUUAUUUUAGAACAACUUUGCUUUAGGGAGAAAGAGGUGAAAAUGAUUUUUAAAUUGGUCCAAAUGAAUUUAGAAAAGAAUUUGAGAAAAGAAAUUCAAAAAAAAAUGGAAAAGGGGCAGGCGCUGCUGGGCCAACCCCGCCUCCCUUUGGGGCCACGCAGCGGCCCGGCCUGUGUCCCCCUCCCCCUCUCUCCCGCGCGCGGACGCCCGCCUCGUCUCAGCCAGCGAUGGCCACGUGGCGGCCGUACGCCGGCGAUGGGCGCGCCGCAGCCGACCGGCUUCACCUGGUCGGGACGCCGGCCCGAGCUCCCAGGCCGCUCCAUUCGUUCUGUCGCCCGCGCCCCUCCCUCCUCCCUCCGCUCGCGAGUGCAACCGAAGCCGUAGGUGCUCCGCCGCAGCGACAUCGCCGGAGCAGCUCCGCUGCUCACCGCCGGCCACGCCAGUGCCCCAACCUCGACGCCGAAACCACCAGAGCACUCACCGUCAUCGCGGUAAGCUCCUGCGAACGUUUUACCGAGGUGAGAGCCCGUCGAGUGCCGUGAAUCACUCGUCGGAGUUGCUCCGACCUCGCCGGAGAGCUCCACCGCGUCGAAUCUCGUUCGUUUUCGCCUCGUUUCGCUUGCUUUUUGGCGCUUUAGAUGCGUAGUUCGACGAGGAAGCUCGGAGGAGCCCUUGCGCGUGUUCUACCGCACCGGAGCAGCCUGUCCACGGCGAGCAGCGCCGCCGUGCCGCCAUGCAUGCUCGUCGGAGGUGCUUCGGACAUCCUCCGGCCAAUCCGAGGGUACCGCUGGGUGCGCCUCGCUGCGGGAAGCACGAUGGUGCUCACCCCGUGGCCGGGAACCUCACCGCCGGCGAGAUCUGCUCGUCGGAGGUGCCCUCCCUCUCGGUCUCGCUGACCAGUGGGGUCAGAGGCCCACUGUCAGUCGCAGGGGGACCGCGUUGGGUGUAGAUCUGGGUGUCUUUAGCAUUUUUGAUCCCGAUUUCGAUUUGAUUUUCAGAAAAUGUUUUCCAGAAAUCGAUUUAAAACUUGUAAAAUCCAUAUCUUGAGUUCUACAGCUCCAAAUCUGAUGAAAUAAAUUUUGGUGUGCUCUCUAUUUUCAGAUCUACAGUUUCAUGUAAUUGCAUGUCAUGUUUAAACAAUUUUUCUGGACAGAAAUAAUUAAUCCAUGCUUUUGCUAAACUUAGAAAAUGCAUAGUAAUUAAAAUAUGGCUCAGAAAAAUGUGAAACUUGAUUUGUUGGCUCUGCAUGUAUGUUAACUCACUGGGAAAAUAUUGCUACACAUUAUUUGGUGUAUAAAUGAAUUUAUAGUGAUUUAAAUGCUUGCAUGGCAGUGGUUUAUGAUUUUUAAUAAAAAUUUGGAUCAUGCAAUUAAUCUGGAAAUUUUUGUGGAUGUUUCUUAUGAUAUUAGACAAAUUGUAAAAAUAUGAAAUUUGCUGUUUGACACUUAUACCACAGUAGAGUAAUUGUAUUUGCCUUUAUGUAAUAAUCUUGUGAUUUUUGUAGCUCAAAAUAAGUAUCCAAGAAUUAUGAAAAAUUUAUAGUAGACUUUAUGCUUGACUGGUAGUCUCCUAUAAUUUUUGUGGAAUCUAUAGAUGAACUGAACUGCAUUCAAAUUUUGAUGGGCCUAGAAAUGAAUAAAGAAAAUUAUGAAUUGUUAUAUAUGGGUUAAAUAGAAUAAAAAGGGGUUUGUUGUAUCUUUGAAGCAUCAUGUGGGUUGCUGGUUACACUUGAAAACAAUUUGUAGAAGAGAAUGCAAUAGAUGUUAAAUUCAAUUGUCUGUUCUUGGAUGAUGUUGACUACCGUGUAAUGAGCAUGACCAAGUAGAUCACCUAUGCAUCAUGUCAUGAUCAUUUGGUACCUUCUCAUACAAGCAUCCACUCGAGCAUCUCGCACUCCACUCAUGAGCACACAUGCAUCAUACAGGCUCGUAGGAGAACGUGGUGGGACCCGAGGAGCCAGAGGAGAUUCAGGAGCAGGAACCACCGGAAGCACCAGAACCCGGAGAGGAGCUACAGGAGUGUCCGGAUCACCGGCCUAGCACGUUUGAUAAAGGCAAGCCCCGGAGCAUUCUAAGUCUCCCUAUUCUCGCUAACUUACAUGAUAUACUAUACUUGUUCCACUAUACUGCAUUUAAGUGAUAGGAAUUGCUUGAUACCGUUGAUGCAUAUGUACUCCUUGUUAUCCCUACUCGUUUAUCUACCUUGUCCUAUGUAGAUAGGCACGGAGUCUAUGCUUAGCUUGCUUAGUCCGGUAGAAGUCGGGUGAUUCCCUGUCACCUGCGAGAUAUUGGUGGAUACCUGCUUGAUUAAGCAGUGGUUGCUUUGGGAAAAGAAUAACCAAGUGUGGAAUGGAAUUGGAGACCGGGCAGGGUCUUAUGGUGGGUUGACCAUAGUGCCCCUGCCUGUGUCGAUUAAGGACCGAUCGUUGACGGCCCUCUUGUCAUGUUGAACGCAUGCCCCACAUUUAGCUGGAAGGAUAAGUCGUUCCGACCGCGAAGCCUGAGCACUAUCCGGGCCAGGAAUCGGCCCGAUGUACGCGCUGUAUUGGUGAUGGUUGAGGAGAACGACGAGGGCGCGACGCGCAACCUUGGUAUACCUUGGAUACCUCGAACGCCGGAACGGUCCUCGGGUACGGGCGGUGCCUGUCGAACCCGCGAAUUGGUCCUAGAUAGUGCAAUACGGUGACCUGUAGCUCACUUGAUCAGUGAGUGUGGUUUGUGUGGGGAAUAAACUCGCCAGCUGGUUAGAAAUCGAUUCGAAUCGCCAUCGCUCCUGGAUAGUGAGCACUUGACAUGAGCUUCGUCCUCGUAGUAAGGACUAUGGAACACUUGGGUUAUAUUGAUAAAUGGUUUUGAGAAUGCUAUGAUGAGGUACUAUCAUAUCACUAUACUUGCUUGUAAUAGUGCAGGUGCAAACCUAGAUAAUAGGUAAUGAUACUUUCAACUUGAGCAAAUUAAAAGAAGAAAGAUUUAUGUAGAUUAUGAUAAUAGAAUCCUGCGGUUAUGCAAAAUGGUUGUCAGCUACCCCACUAUAUAGCCUUCAUGAUCCUUGAAGAGUCUUUAUUUUAAGUUUAUGACGGGUAAGUCUAGCAGAGUACAUUCGCGUACUCAGGGUUCUACUCCCAUGUUGUUUUGCAGAUGGUCAAAUGUACUAUGGUUAUUGCGUCCUCUGUCUGUACCCAGCCAUGGGUGAUGACUAGACCAAGGGCGAUGGUCACUCCGUCUUCUCUUUUGCUUUUGUGGGAAUGACCGAACUAUGGCACUGUAUCAGACUCAGUGUGUGUGUGGUAUUUUCGAACUAUGAAGCUUCCGCUAUUUGAAGAACUUGGUUUGUAAUAAUUUUAAGAACUCCGAUGUAUUUUAAGAAUGUUGAAAUCUAGAUGUACUUGUGGAUGGCGACCGCUGUACGAUAUGUGGUUUGAAAUCCUUCGAGAUUUCACGGACUACCGGGAUUAUAUGGGCUUAAGCUCGAUGGUUUGACUAUGCAAAUGGUCACUGUUAGGCUUAGUCUCUUAUAAUUUGGUCGGUUCUGUUACAACAUCGACCAGGGCUCAGGCACCGGCUACCGUCGAAUACGGAAACAGGCUCGUAUGAAUCGGGAGGCCUCGAGCGCAAGGACGCCGCCCGCCGCCUGACGCGGGCACGGGGACCAGGGCAUUUAAUGCGCCUGCCGCAUUCUCACCUAACCCGUCAGUCACAGCGUGAUAGGGAACAAGCAUCCGUCCCGUCGUUCCUUUUGCAGCCUUCCCCGCCAAACGAGCUAGAACGUGGCAGGUCGCAGGGAAUGGGUCGGAAUGUCUAAUCAAGACCCCCCUCGAGACGCCCAAGGUUAGCGCUCUGGCCGGCAAGGCACUAUAUGGCACUUGACCCUUGAAUAGGCACGUUUGCUUCCUAGAGAAGGCUCGGGCGACGAAUGACAGCACUACAACCACUCCGACGUAGCUGCUGCCACGACGUACAAGCGUGCAACAGAUAAACUAGUCUAGAACGGCGCGCAGGAGCAGGAUUCAGGGGCAUGCACAAUCAUUAUCAAGGUACCAAGACAAGAUGGCUCGAGGCCACACCGGUACGGAGACCUCGAGUAGGUUAGCGCGCUGCACCCCUAUCGACCCCUAUUCUGUUGCCUAUGCAUGUAACCUAGGCCUCCCCUUGGAACUAUAAAAGGGGAAGCCCAGGAGCGGAUAUGGAGGGGACACGUAGUAGAGCUUCCAUACCCCAUCUCAUGCCUGUAUUCACCCCUGUACAAGCACUUAGGUGCAAGAUAAUAGAAACUCUCCCCCACCGCUGGAUGUAGGGCCUUCUCUUGCCCGAACCAGGAUAAAUCUUUGUGUCUUUUCUUGCAUCAACAUCUAGAAAGGGGAGCACGCACUAGUUUUACUCGUUCGUGUGACCCCCCGUGGGGAAAACACCGACAAUUUUUUCCCAAUUGUACCAUCUUGCUAUUAAGGCAGAACAUGAAGUAUAGGGACGCAAGCAAUACCAGUCUUUUAGGUCUAACAAUAGGAUCAAUUUUUAGCAGCGUUACGAGCUGGAGACACCCAAGAAUUCUAUUGCACCAUAGCCAUCUACACCUGCAUUUUCUUCUGGGAUAUGUAAAUUAUCUAAUGUGCAGCCCGUAUAGCUGAAGAAAGGUGCCACUCCACGUACUUCCACUAGCUCCUCCUCGCCCAACAUUGAAAAUCAUUUGCCAUCGAUGCAACGACAUGGGACAUGUCAUGAAGGAUUGCACAGUCAUCGCACUUUCAUUGAUAUCGAGGAUGGAUAUGUAGGUGCUAGUGAUGUUGAAGAUGAUUUAGCUCUUGCUGCUAACAUUGCUAUAGAUUCCACCGAGGGUGAACAAGACACGGAGACCAUUGCCAUUGACUCUGUGGCUGCCUCCGUGGGCUAUCCUAGCCUUCUUGUGUAGCGUGUGUUGAGUUCACGUGUGGGACAUGAAGAAGAGAAGCAGAUCUAGUGCCACAAUUUGUUCCAGAUGUAUCUCACUGUGUAGGGUUGUCGUGUUCUCACCAUCAUUGAUAGCAGGAGUUCCAACAAAUUGGUGAGAUCAGAUUUGGUUGUGAAGCUUGGCUUUCCCACACAACAAUUUGAAGGAUCAAGAAGAACCAACAGGCAGAAGGACGUUCUAUCCCUUGUUGGGGUGUUGUCUACAACAGUCAGAUUGCUAUCUCAACACCAACCAUCCCUUACACUCUGGGAGGACUAGUAUACCUUCACUGCCAGUGAGCAACACCAACAGACUACUUCAACAUCCAGCUUGGGGGAGAGCACCCCCAUUUAUCCAGCUAAGUAUCACUCACUUAUAUAUUUAUUAAGUGUGCUAUGUUAAUCUGAAACAAAUAAAAAGAUGCAUAACUAUAUAAACCCAAAUAAAGAUUUCCCUAUUUAUUUAUAUCGAUAUCUAUCUUUCUAUUUGAUAUUAAGUUUGCUAAAUAAAAUUUAGGAGAGUAUUGGAAUAAAUUGCCGGCUAAAAUAAACCAAUAAAAUAAUCUCUUAUAUGGAAACGAUGAAGUUAUAUGAAUAGGUAGACUAUCCCAAGUGGUCAAUUAUAGUAGAGAAAACGUCCCCCGCUGAGUAGUCUAACCAUUGUGUAACCAUGUGUACCUAGGAAAUUGUACACAAGAAUUAGCCUCCAUCAAAAUCAAUGGCUCACAAAAGAACUACGUCAGAUCCAAGCGCUGAGAGACAAAGUUUGAUGCAGGCUUCUCACACCCGCACCUCACCCUUGCCAGGAACGAUCUGGAGAUCACGCAAGGAUAAAAAAACAAAUCCACGCCUGCUGUUCGAUAGAUCUCCGCCUCCAACCCAAAAUCAAAAAAAAAAUCACGCAAACUGCCACACAUCUCCGCCUCUAACGCACUGGCCGCCCAGGCAAAAUUAUAAUUUGAUCUUUGUCAAAGAUCUCCGCCGGCAACCGAUCUCCGCCGGCAACUACAAAACACUGCCAGCGGCCUGCCAAUCGCCCACGCCGACAAUCCCAGUCCAUCGCCCGCUCGCGUGGCUGAUGGCAGCUGCAUCCAGGACCUGCUGGAUGCCGACGCCUGCACCUAGGGCUUCCUUACAAUAAGAAGAACAGGACCUGUACAUCGUCGACUGCUACCUCGGCGUGAUCAAGGUCGGCACCGAGGGCGACCAGACCACGCCGCUCCCCAUCCCAUCAGUACCUCUGCGAUGCCAUGCCAUGCACCGCGCGCGGACGCCGUCGCCCGACACGGCCUCCUCCCCGUGCUCUCCUCUCCGGCUGCUAGCCAUCGAGUAACCCGACGUAGCUGAGGUAAACCCAAAUAAAGCUCUUACAACCUGAUCGGCCGAUCAUGUUUAUCUAAGGCACUUUAUUUAUCUGACCAUAUUCUGUUGUGUAUGCAGUGUUUGCAAGCAUUUGAGAAGAUAUCACGGAUCCAACCUACCCAGUGCUUGCAGGCGGGCAGGCAUGAUCAACGUUGUGCUGGCAUUCAUUGACCUCUUCGAUAUAUACAAGUAUUCAAGUUAGAAUUAAUGUUAAAGAAAUCACCUUUAAAACUGAGAAUUUAAUACAAUUGCUAAUUUGAUGCCCACUUUCAGGAUUAUAUGGUUUCAACCAAAAAAAUUAAUUAGAUGGUCGUUAGCUUGAUUACUUCACCUUGUUUACCUUCACUAAUAAUUGAUAAUUGAUGUUCCGCAACAUAUAUUAUUAUUUAAUCGAUUAUGCUAUAUAUAAAAAGAUAUAUUAUGAGGUGAUGAUAUGUCGGAUCUCUUCGGCAUAGUAUUAUGAUCAACUAACGUCUUCUUGCAUAACAAAUCAGCAGCCUCUACUUGAUACACUGACUCCAUGUCUACGCCGAGAAAUAUACGAGAUGCACUAAGUGAUAUCACCAGUAUCGCAGGUAUGAUUUCGCAUUGUUUAGAUAUAAUAACGCUUUGGGGUGUUUUAUUAAUUUGGUAUACAUGUCCAAACGGCACAAAUAUAAAGAUGAGGCCCGGCGGACGAGGGAACGGAUUCGUCGAGCUGAGAUGUCUGACGAACAAAGGGAGGAGGUCAGGAGGAAACAACGUGAGUACCAACGUCAGUACCGAAAAAGGAAGAAGGCCAUGUCCCAAAGCAGUAGCGCUGACCCGAGUAUAAUUUAAAAACUUUUAGUUAGCCUUUUAUAUAGUCAAUCCAACUUUUAUAUGGCUGACCAAAAAUGAACAGGUGCUAAUCUCUCAGAGAUGGACCAGAAUUCGCCCUAUUUAUUGGGCAAUGAAAAUAUCCGGCCAAGUGGUAAAUAUCAUAUACAUAACUUCAUGUUUAUUUAUUUUAAACAAAAAUAUUGAUUUUAAACUCUAUCUAUAUAUCAAACAAAAAUAUUGAUUUUAAACUCUACUAUCUAUAUAUGACUUGCCGCACAAACAAAACCCUGCAGAUAUUUCUAACACUACAGGUAAUAAUUUAAAAACUUUUUUAUUAAUAUUAGUUAGCCUUUUAUAUAGUCAAUCCAACUUUUAUAUGGCUGAUCGAAAAUGAACAGGUGCUAAUCUCUCCGAGAUGGACCAGAAUUCAGGCAAUGAAAAUAUCCGACCAAGUGGUAAAUAUCAUAUACAUAACUUCAUGUUUAUUUAUUUUAAACAAAAAUAUUGAUUUUAAACUCUAUCUAUAUAUCAAACAAAAAUAUUGAUUUUAAACUCUACUAUCUAUAUAUGACUUGCCGCACAAACAAAACCCUGCAGAUAUUUCUAACACUACAGGUAAUAAUUUAAAAACUUUUUUAUUAAUAUUAGUUAGCCUUUUAUAUAGUCAAUCCAACUUUUAUAUGGCUGAUCGAAAAUGAACAGGUGCUAAUCUCUCCGAGAUGGACCAGAAUUCAGGCAAUGAAAAUAUCCGACCAAGUGGUAAAUAUCAUAUACAUAACUUCAUGUUUAUUUAUUUUAAACAAAAAUAUUGAUUUUAAACUCUAUCUAUAUAUCAAACAAAAAUAUUCAUUUUAAACUCUACUAUCUAUAUAUGACUUGCCGCACAAACGAAACCCUGCAGAUAUUUCUAACACUGCAAUGGACGGAAGGAAUGCACAACAACGGAAACGAAGAGCUGAGAUGACGGAUGAGCAGAGAGAAGAUAAUAAAAGGAGACACCGUGAGUACCAGCGUCAAUAUCGAGCACGGAAAAAAGUUGAGUUGAAAAAUAGUACCACCACAACUAUUCUCAGCCAAAUAGUGCCGACAUCCUCGCCCGCAGGUGAACAAACUUCAAGCCCUUGUGUUUGCCGGCCCAACCCCUAUAUAACAUGAACCUCAAAUCAUAUUCACAUGUGAAGGUGUGGAUUUUGAAACUGGAUUAUCAGCAAUAGUGGAAAAUGAUGAACCCGAUGAACCCACAGAUUGGCUACAUAGAAAUGAUAAUUAUAUUCCAGAACGUACAGGCCCACGUACGGUCCUUACUGGUCCAUUGCCUACUUUUGGUCAAACAGGUGAGCACAAGAACCUUGUGCUACUUUUAAAUAAAAAAAUAUUUUAUAAGUAAAGUCAUUUAUUAGUAUAUUCUUCUGUACUUAUUUAUUUAUUUUUUAAAAAAUUGCAGAAGUCCUUAGUGGUCCAUUGCCUACUUCAGUUCAAUCAGGUGAGAACAAGAACCUCAUGCUACUUUUAAAAUAAGAAAAACUCAUUUUUAAGUAUGCUAUGGUACUUACUUUUUUUAUUAUUUUUUUGCAGAAGUGAAUAUACUAGAUCGGUGCCACAACCAUGUAGAUGUCCAAACCAAUGAAGAUGAAUUUGACCGUGAACUAUAUGAACCGACGCAUGAUGGUUGGGAUGGCGAUGGACAUGCCAUGGACGGCGACCAUGGUUUGCACAAUGAUAACUUAUAUGAUGACGAUGGACAAGGUACUACGAUAACAACUAUAUAUAAGAAUAUUAUAACUCCAGCUUCAGUGGACCAUACUUAUCUCUACUAAAUUAAUAUUAUUACUAAUAUGUCUACACAGGUCAUCAUUACGAGUCAUAUCGCGUGCUUCCAAAGGGUCCUGCUGAAAACAGUGUGACGGAUGAUGAUCCAUAUGAGUUUAUCUACCAGAACCUGCCACAAAGACAUAAAUUGAGACAAGUGUCUGACUGCAGUUACUGUGGUGCGAUCAGGUUUCAGUACGAGACACCCGGGUUUUGUUGUCGAAAAGGAAAAGUACAAAUACAUAUUCCAGAGGUUCCUACAGAACUGAAAAGGUUAUUCACAAGUCAAGUGCAUGAUGAUGCAAAAUAUUUUAGGAAAAAUAUACGCUAUAUCAACUCACAUUUUGCCUUCGCAAGCCUAGGGGUUACCCUUGAUCGCAGAUAUAACAGUCCACGAGGGACCGGUAUUUAUAUAUUUCGAGUUCAUGGCGGGUUGUACCAUCGUCUGGACCACCUGGUGCCAGGUGGCGACAACGCUCGACAUCUACAGCUUUACUUCUAUGAUACAGAAGAUGAGGCCUUGUCACAUAGAGCCAAGAGGUCUCCUGAUCUUGAUAUUAAUCUCAUCCGGAAUAUCCUUGCAAUUCUUCAUGAUAACCCAUAUGUUCAUACUUUCAAGAGAAAUGGUGCUUUUCCAAACUUGGAUGAUUACCGGAUUGAACUCAAUACAAACGUCACGCCUGAUCAGAGAAGGUACAAUGCCCCAACAACAUCCCAAGUUGCUGCUAUCUCUGGAUGGAAGGGAACGAUCCACAAAGGUGUUUUGAUAGGAGCGUGGUUGUAUAUGGCAAGACUGAUCAUCGUCCGCAGUAUAUCCGAGCAUACCAUGGUUGUUAUGACCCAUUAGCUUAUCCUAUAUAUAACCCACGAGGUGAAACAGGAUAGAACAAGUUCAUGCCGUACAGUGGGGUUCCACUAGUUCCAUCAUCCGCAACUCCGGCUUCUACUAAUAAUGUUAAUAACAGGGUUGAUGGGACUACUGGUGGUUAUCAAGGUACUAUCUCCUACUAAUAAUAUUUUUUACUGCUAUAAUACUGGUACUAUUUAAUUGCUGCUAUGAUACAAUAUAAUAAAAUGAUCUAAUAUUUUAUCUAUCUUGCAGCUGAUAAUAAUAAUGAAAAUCAAGUGGAAGAAGGUGACAAUGACAUUCAAGAAGGUGACAUGCUAAGUGGAGUUGCAGAUGUAGCACAGUCCACAAGAUAUGUAACUGCACGUGAAUACUACUGCUUCAAGUUGCAAGUUAGACGAGGCAUUUUUAACAUUAUAUUAUUUGGAGGACGUCUUUUCAAGCAAUGGGCUGUAGAUAUGUAUAUAAAGAUUGAGUCUAUGAGGCUAGAUUGGUACUCUAAUCCUGAUAACCAAAAGCUAAUACGGGCAGAGCUAUACCAGGUAACAACUCAUAUUAUUUUGUUUAUAUUUAUUAUUUUAUGAACUUUGCAACCAUAUUACUGCCUUGGGCUAAAACUAUAUGUGUUUAAAUGUAUUUUAGGGACUGGUUGAUGUUAUCUCUGCUGGAGAGACACAGGGUUCUAAAGUUGGCAAGAGAAUUGUGUUGCCAAGAUCAUUCCCAGGAUGUGAUCGAGACAUGCAACAAAGAUUCCUUAAUGCUAUGGCUAUUGUGCAGCGUUUUGGAAAGCCAGAUUACUUCAUCACCAUGACAUGCAAUCCAUACUGGGAAGAGAUAACAAGCAAUCUCGAACCGGGACAGGAACCACAAGAUAGGCCAGAACUUGUUGCAAGAGUGUAUAGGGCAAAGUUGCGAGAUCUAAAAGAUCUUCUGAUCAAGAAGAAGUAUUUUGGUGAUGUUGCUGCAUACGUCCAUGUUACAGAGUUCCAAAAGAGGGGGCUGCCACAUGAGCAUUUCUUGUUAAUCAUGAAGUCAGGGAGUAAGUUGACAACCCCAGAUGCAUAUGACCGUGUUAUUUCAGCAGAGAUACCAGACAAGGACAAAUAUCCAGAGUUGCAUGAUCUGGUAAUCAGUCAUAUGCUCCAUGGACCAUAUGGCGUGCUAAACAAAAAUUGUGCAUGCAUGGUGUAACAGAACCGACCAAAUUAUAAGAGAUUAAGCCUAAUAGUGACUAUUUGCAUAGUCGAACCAUCACGCUUAAGCCCAUAUAAUCCCGGUAGUCCGUGAAAUCUCGAUGGAUUUCAAACCACACAUCGCAUGUAGUCAAGAUCGUAAUAAGUUUAGCGGCCGCCAUCCAUAAGUACAUCCAAAUUACAACAUUCAUGAAACACAUCGGAGUACUUAAGUUAUUACAAACCAAGUUCUUCAAGUAGCGGAAGUUUCAUAGUUCGAAAUUACAACACACACGAUAAAUCUGAUACAGUGCUAUAGUUUGGUCAUUCCCACAAAAGCAAAGGAAGAGACGGAGUGACCAUCGCCCUUGGUCUAGUCAUCACCCAUAGCUGGGUACAGACAGAGGAUGCAAUAACCAUAGUACAUUUGACCAUCUGCAAAACAACAUGGGAAUAGGACCCUGAGUACGAGAAGGUACUCAGCUAGACUUACCCGUCAUAAACUUAAAAUAGAGACUCAUCAAGGAUCAUGAAGGCUAUUUGGUGGGGUAGCUGACAACCAUUUUGCAAAGACCGCAAGGUUUUAUUACCCGAACCUACAUAAAUCUUUUCUUCUUUUAACCUGCUCAAGUUGAAAGUAUCAUUAUCUAUUAUCUAGGUUUGCUCCUGUGCUAUUACAAGCAAGUAUGAGACUAUGAUAGUACCUCAUCACAGCAAUCAUAAACCCGUUUCAUUAUAACCCAAGUGUUCCAUAGUCCUUACUACGAGGACGAAGCUCAUGUCAAGUGCUCACUAUCCAGGAGCGAUGGCGAUUCGAAUCGAUUUCUAACCAGCUGGCGAGGUAUUCCCCACACAAACCACACUCACUGAUCAAGUGAGCUACAGAUCACCGUAUUACACUAUCCAGGACCAAUUCGCGGGUUCGGCAGGCACCGCCAGUACCCGAGGACCGUUCCGGCGACCGAGGUAUCCAUGGUAUACCAAGGUUGCGCGCCGCGCCCUCGUCGUUCUCCUCAACCACCACCAAUACAGCGCGUGGCGGCUCGAUUCCCGGCCCGGAUAGUGUUCAGGCUUCGCGGUCGGAACGACUUAUCCUUCCAGCUAAGUGUGGGGCAUGCGUUCAACAUGACAAGAGGGCCGUCAACGAUCGGUCCUUAAUCGACACAGGCAGGGGCACUAUGGGCAACCCACCAUAAGACCCUGCCCGGUCUCCAAUUACAUUCCACACUUGGUUAUUUCUUUCCCCAAGCAACCACUGCUUAAUCAAGCAGGUAUCCACCUAUAUCUCGCAGGUGACAGGACAUCACCCGACUUCUACCGGACUAAGCAAGCUAAGCAUAGACUCCGCGCCUAUCUACAUAGGACAAGGUAGAUAAACGAGUAGGGAUGACAAGGAGUACAUAUGCAGCAACGGUAUCAGGCAACUCCUACCACUUAAAUGCAGUAGUAGAACAAGUAUAGUGCAUCACAUAAGUUAGCGAGAAUAGGGAGACUUAGAAUGCUCCGGGGCUUGCCUUUCUCAAACGUGCUGGGUCGGUGAUUCGGACACUCCUGCAGUUCCUCUCCGGGUUCCUGUGCUUCCGGAGGUUCCUGCUCCUGAAGCUCCUCGGGUUCCUCGGUUCCCACCUCGUUCUCCUGCGAGCCUGUAUGAUGCAUAUAUGCUCAUGAGUGGAGUGCGAGAUGCCCGAGUGGAUGCUUAUAUGAGAGAGUACCAAAGGAGUCAUGUUAUGAUGCAUAGGUAAUGCACUUGGUCAUGCUUAUUACAAGGUAGUCAACAUCAUCCAAGAAUAAACAAUUGAAUCAAACAUCUAUUACAUUCUCUUCUAUAAUUAUUUUUCAAAUGCAACCAGCAACCUCCAUGAUGCUUCAAAGAUACACCAAACCCAACUUAUUCCAUUCAACCUAUAUAUACAACCAUUCAUAGUUUUCUUUAUUCAUUUCUAAGCCCAUUAAAAAUCACAUGCAAUUCUGUUCAUCAAUAAAUUCCACAAAAUUUACAGGAGACUACCAGCUAAGCAUAAAGUCUACUGUAAAUUUUUCAUGAUUUUUGGAUACUUAUUUUGAGCCACAAAAAUCACAAGAUUAAUUGAUAAGGCAAGUAAAAUCACUCUACUGGGAUACAAGUGUUAAACCACAGAUUUCAUAUUUUUACAAUUUGCAUAAUAUCAUAAGAAACACCCACAAAUUUUUCCAGAUUUAUUGCAUGACCCAUUUAAUUACUAAAAAUCAUAAAGUACUGCCAUGCAAGCAUUUAAAUUACCAUAAAUUCAUUUAUACACUAAAUAACAUGUACCCACUUUUUCCCAGUGAGCAAACACACAUGCAAAGCCAACAAAUCAAGUUUCACAUUUUUCUGAGCCAUAUUUCAUUUACUAUGCAUUUUCCAAGUUUAACAAAAUCAUGGAUAAAAUAUAUUCACACAGAAAAGUUGCUCCAACAUGACAUGCAAUUACAUCAAACUGGAGAUCUGGAAAUAUAGAGCACACCAAAAUUUAUUUCAUUCAAUUUGGAGCUGUAGAACUCAAGAUAUAGAUUUUACAACUUUAAAUCAAUUUCUGGAAAAUACUUUUUCAAGAAAACCGACGAAAAACGCUACGCACACCCAGAUCUACACCCACCGGGGUACCCCUGCGACUGACAGUGGGUCCCCGACCCCACCAGUCAGCGAGACAGAGAGGGAGCUCACCUCCGACGAGCGGAUCUCGCCGGCGGUGAGGUCUCCGGCCACGGGGUGAGCACCAACGUGCUCCCCGCAGCAAGACGCACCCAACGGUACCCUUGGAUCGACCAGAGGGCGGCCGGAACACCUCCGGCGAGCAUGCAUGGCGGCACGGCAGCGCUGCUCGCCGUGGCCAGGCUGCUCCGGCGCGGUAGAGCGUGCGCAAACGCCUCUCCGAGCUUCCUCACCUUCCUACCGACCUAGCGCAACAGAGAACGAGCGAAAAGACGCAGGGAAACGCUAGAUCCGUCGCGGCGGAGUACUCCGGCGAGCUUGGGGUAACUCCGGCGAGCGACUCACGGCGCUCGACGGACUCUCACCUCGGUUGAACGUUCGCACGAGCUUACCCUAGCGACGGCGAGUGCCCUGGUGCUCUCGGCGUCGAGCUUGAGGCUCUGGUGUGGCCGGCGACGAGCGGCGGAGCUCUCUCCAGCAAUGGCGCGCGGAGGAGCGGCUGCUGCUGCGCGGUGCGAGCGGAGGAGGAAGGAGAAGGAGGGCGCGGGGGACAGAACGGGCGAAAUGGUCUGGGAGCCUGCGCCGGCGUCCCGACCAGGGGGGGUUGGAGGCCGGCCGCGGCGCGUCCAACGCCGGCGUACGGCCGCCACGUGGCCGGCGCCGGGUGGAGCGAGGCGCGUCCGCGCGCGGGAGGGAGAGGGAGAGGGGAGGCAGGCCGGGUCGCUUGCUGGGCCGAAAGGGAAGCGGGGUUGGCCCAGCAGCGCCUGCCCCUUUCUCUUUUUUUUUUGAAUUUCUUUUCUCCAAAUUCUUUCUAAAUUCAUUUGGACCAAUUUAAAAUCAUUUUCACCUCUUGCUCCCAAAAACAAAGUUGUUCCAAAUUUAAAACUCUGCAACUUUGCUUUGACAAGCAAGACCAAAUUCCAAACAAAAUUUGAAUUACAAGUUAAAACUCAGCUCUAGGUUUUAAAUAAAUUCAUUUUGGAAAAGUUUGUAUAAAUUCCAUUUCUCAAAUUUCCAUAGCUCCAAAAAUUGCACAAAAAUGUUCUUAAUUCUUCUUACACAUAAAGCAACCUAAUUUGAAUAUUUCACAAUUUUAGAAACAAGCAUCACAUUUUUAACAUAAUUAAAGCACAGGAAAUGAAGCACAUAAAAUCAUAAUUUGAAAAGAGUGUCAUGCUCAUGAUGCUUAUGCUUGAUGGAAAUGCUUAUGCAUGACUUUGAUGAGACUAAGUGCAUGCUUAACACCUAGGGUGUUACAGCCCUUCCCCCCUUAGGGAAAUCUCGUCCCGAGAUUUUGGGUUACUAACCAUUUCUUAUGAAAUUUUGGAUAAACUGCUUUUAAGUAAUCCUCUGUUUCCCAAGUGGCAUCCCUAUCGUCAUAAUGACUCCACACCACUUUGUACGUUCUGACAACUUUGUUUCGGGUUACUCGCUCCUUGGUAUCCACGAUUCCCACUGGCUGCUCUUUAUACUCUAAGUGUGCUUUUAUUUUGAUCCCUCGAGGUUCAAUUCUUUGCUCAGGCACUUUCAAACAUUUCCGUAGUUGUGACACAUGGAAGACCGGAAAGAUCGAGCUCAUCUCUACAGGUAACUGAAUCUUAUAGGCCACUGGGCCUUUCCUCUCUAGCACUUGGUAUGGUCCCACAUAUCUGGGUGCAAGCUUGCUUCGAACUCGGAAACGUUGAACUUUCUUCAUUGGCGUAACCUUGAGGUACACAUAGUCACCUAUGUUGAAUUCAAGUGGCCUUCUUCUCUUAUCAGCAUAACUCUUCUGUCGUGACUGAGCUGCUUGCAUAUGUUGUUGUAUAAUCUGCACCUUUUUCUCGGCAUCAUUCACAAAGUCGAUACCAUAGUAUCUCCUUUCACCAGGUUCCACCCAGUUUAACGGAGUUCGACAUCUCCGCCCAUACAAAGCUUCGAACGGGGCCAUCUUGAUGCUCUCUUGAUAACUAUUAUUGUAUGAGAACUCAGCCAGAGGUAACCAUGAUUCCCACGAUCCCCUGGAUGAUAGCACACAGGCUCUCAGCAUAUCUUCUAACACUUGAUUUAGCCUCUCGGUUUGACCUGAAGUCUGGGGAUGAUACGCCGUGCUUCUUAUCAGACUGGUCCCCAAGAUCUUAUGCAUGCGCUCCCAGAAGUAAGCAGUGAACUGCGGUCCUCUAUACGAUAUGAUGGUUUUGGGAAUACCAUGCAAUUUGACGAUCUCAGCCAUAUAUAUAUCAGCAUACUCGGGAGGUCUGUAUGUGUUCUUGACUGGAAUGAAAUGAGCCGACUUGGUUAAUCGAUCUAUGAUUACCCAAAUCGAGUCAUUCCCCUUCCUGGUUGUCGGUAAGCCGGUGAUAAAGUCCAUACUGACCUCUUCCCAUUUCCACUCCGGAACUGAUAACGGUUGUAACAGACCUGCAGGUUUCAUAUGGAUGGCCUUAACUCUGCAACACGUGUCACAACGGGCCACAUAAGCGGCUAUUUCUUUCUUCAUCUUGGUCCACCAAAAGUGGGGCCUUAGAUCUUGAUACAUUUUGCUGCUGCCAGGAUGAAUAGAAAGCUUAGAGAGAUGGGCUUCAUCCAUGAUGUGAUUCUUCAACUCCCGAUCUUUCGGGACCACUAACCGCUGUUGAAACCACAGUACCCCCUUCUCAUCAACCCGAAACUGGGUCUUUGGGUCAUCUUUGAUCUUCUCUUUGAUGUGGAAAAUACCCUUGUCUGUUUUCUGACCUUCAAUGACUUGACUCUCGAGUGAACAACUGAGUUGUAUAUGACAUAAGACCUCAGGAUGCAUAAGAUUGAACCCAUCUUCAAACAACGGUUGAACCAUUUGAUAGUGUGGUUUGCGACUCAAAGCAUCUGCGACCACGUUAGCUUUGCCUGGAUGAUAGUGAACUUCCAGGUCAUAAUCCUUGAUUAGCUCUAACCACCGUCGUUGCCUCAUAUUCAGCUCGGACUGCGUGAAGAUGUACUUCAAGCUCUUAUGAUCGGUAUAAACGUGACACUUAUUUCCUAGCAGAUAAUGUCUCCAGAUCUUCAAAGCAUGUACCACUGCUGCUAACUCAAGGUCGUGCGUUGGAUAGUUGACUUCAUGCUUUCUCAACUGUCAGGAAGCAUAAGCGAUCACCCUGCCAUCUUGCAUCAACACACACCCCAGGCCACUCUUCGAUGCGUCACAAAACACAUCAAAAGGCUUCUCUAUAUUAGGUUGUGCCAGAACGGGAGCAGUGGUUAGCAACUUUCGCAAGGUGCGGAAGGCUAACUCACACCCUUCCGUCCAGACAAACUUAUGGUCCUUUUGUAGCAAACUUGUCAUUGGCUUAGCAAUCUUGGAGAAGUCAGGUAUGAAACGACGAUAAUACCCGGCCAGACCAAGAAAACUUCUAACUUCCGAGACAGAAGUUGGUGCCUUCCAGUCCAUGACUUCCUGCACUUUUGAUGGAUCCACGGCAAUCCCUUCUUCAGACGACAUGUGCCCUAGGAACGGAACUUUCUUCAACCAGAACUCACACUUGCUGAACUUGGCAUAUAACUGAUGCUCUCGUAAUCGUGUCAGCACGAUUCUCAGAUGUUCGGCGUGAUCUUGCUCAUUUUCUGAAUACACCAGGAUAUCAUCGAUAAACACUACAACAAACUUAUCCAAUUCAGGCAUAAAGACUGAAUUCAUCAGAUACAUAAAGUAUGCAGGAGCAUUUGUCAACCCAAAGGACAUGACAAGAUACUCAUACAACCCAUAUCUGGUGGAAAAAGCAGUCUUCGGGAUAUCUUGCGGACGAAUCUUGAUUUGGUGAUACCCAGAUCUCAAAUCUAUCUUAGAAAACACUCUUGCCUUGGAUAACUGAUCAAACAGGAUAUCAAUCCUAGGCAAGGGAUACUUAUUUUUGAUUGUCACUGCAUUGAGUGGACGAUAGUCCACGCACAUGCGCAACGACUGAUCCUUCUUUUUCACAAACAACGCUGGACAACCCCAUUCCGACGAGCUGGGCCGGAUGAACCCUUUUUCUAGUAACUCCUUCAGUUGUUUCUUCAACUCUGCGAGUUCGUUUGGUGGCAUCCGGUACGGCCUUCUAGAUAUUGGUGUUGUACCUGGUAUCAACUCGAUUACAAACUCUACUUCCCUAUCUGGGGGAAGCCCUGGUAACUCCUCGGGAAACACAUCGGGGAACUCACCGACUACUGGGAUCUGUGGUAAAGGGACCACGUGCGUAGCACAGGAGAUGCUAGCAAAGUCAAGACGACGGGGCAGAGGUACUUGAAAAGAGUUACUGCCCUGUGGUUCUCUGAGAGAUAACAUCCUCUUUCCAGUAUCUAUGACCGCAUCCCAUUCUCUCAUCCAGUUCAUGCCCAUGAUAACAUCCAAAACUAACCCAGGCAUGACCACUAGAUUUACCCGAAAGACUCGGCCACUUAUCUCCAGGGUUGCCCCUCGGACCACUCUAUUGGUCAACACAUCUGCCCCUGCUGAGCUGAUGCGGUAGCCAUAGCCCAGAUCUGUAACUGGUUGGUUAUGCUUUUGUGCAAAUGCUUGACUCAUGAAAGAAUGCGACGAUCCAGAAUCAAACAAAACAACUGCAAGAUGUUGGUUGACAGAAAACAUACCAGCUGUUACCGGUUCUCCUUCCGGGAUUUCCUCAAUCGAGGUAUGAUGCACACGAGCUGGAUAUGUUGGCUGCUGCCUCUUGGGGUAGGGACAUUCCUUAGCAAAGUGCCCCAUUUUGUGGCAGUUAUAGCACGGACCCUUGGGCGCAUUGUUGACGGCAGGUGCUGUAGCUUGAAUUGCCUUUGGCUUGGCAGGAGCUGUCGCCACCUUGUACGGCUUCUGCUGUGUUGGAUGCCCGGUGUUCCUUCUCUGCGGUGGUCGGAACCUAGCACCCGGGGCAGGAGGACGAUACUGCUGUCGCCCUGCCACUGGUGCCCUGGACUGGGAUGAUCCUGCUUCAAAAGCCCUUUUACGUGACUUGGAUGCACUGUAGUUGUUGUUAUUGUUCUCUUGGGUCAGACAGUCACUGAUAUAGGCAUUGAAAGUAGCCCUGGCCCCUGUACCCAUGGUCUUCAGCAUCUUUGGAUUCAAACCUCUCUGGAAACUAGCAAUCUUCUUAGUCUCCGUGUUCACAAACUCAGGGGCAUAGCGAGCGAGAUUGUUGAAAUCGUGUAGAUACUCCUUCACAGACUUCGUCCCUUGGGACAGCCUCAUGAACUCCCCAACCUUCAUUUCAACCACACCAGGAGGAAUGUAAUUUCCCCGGAAAAAGGUGGUGAAGCGGUUCCAGGUGAUUGGUGUCCCUUCUGGGUAGGUGGUACGGUGAUGGGACCACCAAAUCCCAGCAGGUCCUUGCAACUGAUGUGCCGCAUAUUCAGCCUUGAGUUCUUCUGUCAUCCGAAGAAGACGAAACUUCUGCUCCAUGGUAUUGAUCCAUUCAUCUGCCUCGAGGGGUUCCAAAGCCUCUUUGAAGAUUGGUGGCUUGGUAUCCAUGAAGUCCUUGAACGAACUGUACUGGUUGACCUCCCGGCCACCCUGAUUAUCCCCACGACGGGUGUUGUCAGCUAUGUUGCGCAAAGCUUCUUCCAUGUUGCGCUGCAUCUGUUCCAUGUUGCCUUGGCUUCCCAGAAACUGCGCGAAAAACACAUCCACAGUGUACGGGGGAGGCGGUGGUGGUGUUGGCGCUCGGUCCUCAUUCCGUUGAGCCCCACCUCCGGAGGUACCUGCUCCAAGGCCCGAAUUGCUGUUACCCCCGCCACGUGUUUUACCAUCUGCAUACGCCAAUGAUAAGCAAUCGUUAGGAGUUGCCAUCAACCGGUAGAAAAUGUGUAAAAUCGUGCCAUACUUAAUUUACUGAGGGAAUAAAUUCACACAAUAAACAAAGGCACAACAACUCAUCAUCCACGCACAACAUCACUAACAGAUUACUUAACAUUCACGCAACAAGGUUCGCGUACAUCCAACUUGCCAGCAUACAUACACUGGACUUUCAGCAUCAACUCAUAAAGUCUUACACAGCCCAGAUCCAAAUGUACAUGACAUGCCACGCAACAUACAUCACAAAAGAGGAAAGACUAGCUCUAGAGCCCUAGCAUCUAGUCGCUAUGGUCACUGUCCAUGCCGGAGCCAUCCUCAUCCUCAUCUCCACUAGCAGCUGCUCCUAUCUCGGGAUCCGCGUCCAUCUCAUCCUCAGAGUCUAGUUCCGCUGCUCCAGGCAGGUGGUGAGGAUGGAGCUGGUUAUGCAGCUGGUGGAUCUCCUCAUGCAAGUUCUCAUUGUACUCCUCGGCAUUAGCUAGCUGCUGCUCUAGCUCCAGCUGUCGGGCUCUCAAAGUGUCCUCCUCGUGCCAGGCUUCAUUCCUCUGUCCAAGCACAUGGACUAACAUGCGCUCGCAGUUCCUGUGAGCAGUAGUCACCCUGUCCUUCUGCUCCCGUACUGCAAGCAGGUCCUGACUCAGCUCACUGUUCUUCUGGACUGCCUGGUCUCUCUCUCUGGUCACACGAGCCAACUCUGCCUGUAGCCUCUCAACCUCAGAGUCAAACUCACGCUGCAACUGACGCUUCUCAUCCUGGACGGUGAGAAGAGACCCGGACAAGCGACCCAAACAACGCUCCAGGCCUCCAUAGGUCUUCAUCAACGCGUACAUGGCACUCAUAGCUGCACUGUCACUGUGCUGGUCCUCAUCCGCACUCCUCUCUAGAGCAUUCACCUCGGACUGAUCCCACACCGAAGUGUAAGGGUCACCCCGGGGAAACACCCCAGCGAAGGCGUGGGCCAGCUCCUGUGGAAACCUCUCCAUGAGGUCCCUCAAAACUGCGAAAGCUGCCCUGCUGGCACCGUGGAAAGGCGUGACACCUCGGGACUCGUACACCCAGCCGCCCCAAGCAGGGUCUCCUCCACUGGUAGGGACAACUGCCUCGAUCCCCACCAGGGUCUCGUCACCAAGCGGCUCCUUAUCCCAAUAGUAGCGAGGCUCCCUUCCUUCGGGAUACUCCAAAGCAAAGUGGGCAUCCCAAACUCCUCUAGGAACUUGCUCUUAUGUCGGGAGCUCCUAGCUGCCAACGGACGGCGAGGGGCCCGCCCACCAGUGGACUUGCGAGCGGUGAGCCUAGUGUGUGCCAUCUGCUGCAAAUGGAAUACCGUGGGUAAGAGCGAGGAUUACCUUUAAUUAUUUUAUUUAGAAUUGGGACAGAUUAAAUUAAGGGGGAAAGUAAGCAAUGAUAUGAAAUGAACAUGAUGCAUGCACGAACUUACGAUCUCACAAACUUAGAAAACAAAGGUUAACACUAAGCGGUAUAUGCGGUGGCACACAACGUUCUCCCAUAACGUAACUAGCGUUCUAAGCGAGAACGUGGUUAGGGUACCUGCAGAAAACUCAUUUCAGCCCACACAUAGUAUGAUCGUGCAGAAUAGGAAUUUAAAACUAGGCACUUCGCACACACAGACACCCGUCCAUGCAUGCGAUGUGUCACUACCCACAUCAUCGCCCUUUUGACGGCAUCGCCUCUCAGGACGGAAUUCCCAGCAUGCGGUACUGUUCCCAAGACACACCAACAUGUGUGCAUGACACAGCACCUGACAACACUUCCCUAGACCGGCAGUGUAUCCGAUCAUGCUCUCACAACUCCCACUUACCAUGGCGUAGAGGAAGAAUUGAUCCAUACAUUACCACUCAAAUGAAUGGCACUCAUACUAUUGCACGCCGUAUGAGCGACGAAAUAAAAAUAUGAUGCAUUAACCCCCAAGUCAGUACUUAGCUAGCCACCUUAGAGUCCUUAACUGGGCAUAAAGGCUAUGACCAUGGCACACUAGAUAAUUUUCCCAAAACUUAGUUUAACACCUUGAUCAUUAUUAAUUAAUUAAUAAAAUCUUUUACUAAACUGGUUUAGACUUUUGUUUAAAACAUACUUAUGAACAGUAACUCGCUAAACCUUGCUCCGAUGCCAGCUGUAACAGAACCGACCAAAUUAUAAGAGAUUAAGCCUAAUAGUGACUAUUUGCAUAGUCGAACCAUCACGCUUAAGCCCAUAUAAUCCCGGUAGUCCAUGAAAUCCCGAUGGAUUUCAAACCACACAUCGCAUGUAGCCAAGAUCGUAAUAAGUUUAGCGGCCGCCAUCCAUAAGUACAUCCAAAUUACAACAUUCAUGAAACACAUCGGAGUACUUAAGUUAUUACAAACCAAGUUCUUCAAGUAGCGGAAGUUUCAUAGUUCGAAAUUACAACACACACGAUAAAUCUGAUACAGUGCCAUAGUUUGGUCAUUCCCACAAAAGCAAAGGAAGAGACGGAGUGACCAUCGCCCUUGGUCUAAUCAUCACCCAUAGCUGGGUACAGACAGAGGAUGCAAUAACCAUAGUACAUUUGACCAUCUGCAAAACAACAUGGGAAUAGAACCCUGAGUACGAGAAGGUACUCAGCUAGACUUACCCGUCAUAAACUUAAAAUAGAGACUCAUCAAGGAUCAUGAAGGCUAUUUGGUGGGGUAGCUGACAACCAUUUUGCAAAGAUCGCAAGGUUAUAUUACCCGAACCUACAUAAAUCUUUUCUUCUUUUAACCUGCUCAAGUUGAAAGUAUCAUUAUCUAUUAUCUAGGUUUGCUCCUGUGCUAUUACAAGCAAGUAUGAGACUAUGAUAGUACCUCAUCACAGCAGUCAUAAACCCGUUUCAUUAUAACCCAAGUGUUCCAUAGUCGUUACUACGAGGACGAAGCUCAUGUCAAGUGCUCACUAUCCAGGAGCGAUGGCGAUUCGAAUCGAUUUCUAACCAGCUGGCGAGGUAUUCCCCACACAAACCACACUCACUGAUCAAGUGAGCUACAGAUCACCGUAUUACACUAUCCAGGACCAAUUCGCGGGUUCGGCAGGCACCGCCAGUACCCGAGGACCGUUCCGGCGACCGAGGUAUCCAAGGUAUACCAAGGUUGCGCGCCACGCCCUCGUCGUUCUCCUCAACCACCACCAAUACAGCGCAUGGCGGCUCGAUUCCCGGCCCGGAUAGUGUUCAGGCUUCGCGGUCGGAACGACUUAUCCUUCCAGCUAAGUGUGGGGCAUGCGUUCAACAUGACAAGAGGGCCGUCAACGAUCGGUCCUUAAUCGACACAGGCAGGGGCACUAUGGGCAACCCACCAUAAGACCCUGCCCGGUCUCCAAUUACAUUCCACACUUGGUUAUUUCUUUCCCCAAGUAACCACUGCUUAAUCAAGCAGGUAUCCACCUAUAUCUCGCAGGUGACAGGACAUCACCCGACUUCUACCGGACUAAGCAAGCUAAGCAUAGACUCCGCGCCUAUCUACAUAGGACAAGGUAGAUAAACGAGUAGGGAUAACAAGGAGUACAUAUGCAGCAAAGGUAUCAGGCAACUCCUACCACUUAAAUGCAGUAGUAGAACAAGUAUAGUGCAUCACAUAAGUUAGCGAGAAUAGGGAGACUUAGAAUGCUCCGGGGCUUGCCUUUCUCAAACGUGCUGGGUCGGUGAUCCGGACACUCCUGCAGUUCCUCUCCGGGUUCCUGUGCUUCCGGAGGUUCCUGCUCCUGAAGCUCCUCGGGUUCCUCGGUUCCCACCUCGUUCUCCUGCGAGCCUGUAUGAUGCAUAUAUGCUCAUGAGUGGAGUGCGAGAUGCCCGAGUGGAUGCUUAUAUGAGAGAGUACCAAAGGAGUCAUGUUAUGAUGCAUAGGUAAUGCACUUGGUCAUGCUUAUUACAAGGUAGUCAACAUCAUCCAAGAAUAAACAAUUGAAUCAAACAUCUAUUACAUUCUCUUCUAUAAUUAUUUUUCAAAUGCAACCAGCAACCUCCAUGAUGCUUCAAAGAUACACCAAACCCAACUUAUUCCAUUCAACCUAUAUAUACAACCAUUCAUAGUUUUCUUUAUUCAUUUCUAAGCCCAUUAAAAAUCACAUGCAAUUCUGUUCAUCAAUAAAUUCCACAAAAAUGACAGGAGACUACCAGCUAAGCAUAAAGUCUACUGUAAAUUUUUCAUGAUUUUUGGAUACUUAUUUUGAGCCACAAAAAUCACAAGAUUAAUUGAUAAGGCAAGUAAAAUCACUCUACUGGGAUACAAGUGUUAAACCACAGAUUUCAUAUUUUUACAAUUUGCAUAAUAUCAUAAGCAACAUCCACAAAUUUUUCCAGAUUUAUUGCAUGACCCAUUUAAUUACUAAAAAUCAUAAAGUACUGCCAUGCAAGCAUUUAAAUUACCAUAAAUUCAUUUAUACACUAAAUAAUAUGUACCCACUUUUUCCCAGUGAGCAAACACACAUGCAAAGCCAACAAAUCAAGUUUCACAUUUUUCUGAGCCAUAUUUCAUUUACUAUGCAUUUUCCAAGUUUAACAAAAUCAUGGAUAAAAUAUAUUCACACAGAAACGUUGCUCCAACAUGACAUGCAAUUACAUCAAACUGUAGAUCUGGAAAUAUAGAGCACACCAAAAUUUAUUUCAUUCAAUUUGGAGCUGUAGAACUCAAGAUAUAGAUUUUACAACUUUAAAUCAAUUUCUGGAAAAUACUUUUUCAAGAAAACCGACGAAAAACGCUACGCACACCCAGAUCUACACCCACCGGGGUACCCCUGCGACUGACAGUGGGUCCCCGACCCCACCAGUCAGCGAGACCGAGAGGGAGCUCACCUCCGACGAGCGGAUCUCGCCGGCGGUGAGGUCUCCGGCCACGGGGUGAGCACCAACGUGCUCCCCGCAGCAAGACGCACCCAACGGUACCCUUGGAUCGACCAGAGGGCGGCCGUUACACCUCCGGCGAGCAUGCAUGGCGGCACGGCGGCGCUGCUCGCCGUGGCCAGGCUGCUCCGGCGCGGUAGAGCGUGCGCAAACGCCUCUCCGAGCUUCCUCACCUUCCUACCGACCUAGUGCAACAGAGAACGAGCGAAAAGACGCAGGGAAACGCUAGAUCCGUCGCGGCGGAGUACUCCGGCGAGCUCGGGGUAACUCCAGCGAGCGAUUCACGGUGCUCGACGGACUCUCACCUCGGUAGAACGUUCGCACGAGCUUACCCUAGCGACGGCGAGUGCCCUGGUGCUCUCGGCGUCGAGCUUGAGGCUCUGGUGUGGCCGGCGACGAGCGGCGGAGCUCUCUCCGGCAAUGGCGCGCGGAGGAGCGGCUGCUGCUGCGCGGUGCGAGCGGAGGAGGAAGGAGAAGGAGGGCGCGGGGGACAGAACGGGCGAAAUGGUCUGGGAGCCUGCGCCGGCGUCCCGACCAGGGGGGUUGGAGGCCGGCCGCGGCGCGUCCAACGCCGGCGUACGGCCGCCACGUGGCCGGCGCCGGGUGGAGCGAGGCGCGUCCGCGCGCGGGAGGGAGAGGGAGAGGGGAGGCAGGCCGGGUCGCUUGCUGGGCCGAAAGGGAAGCGGGGUUGGCCCAGCAGCGCCUGCCCCUUUCUCUUUUUUUUUUGAAUUUCUUUUCUCCAAAUUCUUUCUAAAUUCAUUUGGACCAAUUUAAAAUCAUUUUCACCUCUUGCUCCCAAAAACAAAGUUGUUCCAAAUUAAAAACUCUACAACAUUGCUUUGACAAGCAUGACCAAAUUCCAAACAAAAUCUGAAUUACAAGUUAAAACUCAGCUCUAGGUUUUAAAUAAAUUCAUUUUGGAAAAGUUUGUAUAAAUUCCAUUUCUCAAAUUUCUAUAGCUCCAAAAAUUGCACAAAAAUGUUCUUAAUUCUUCUUACACAUAAAGCAACCUAAUUUGAAUAUUUCACAAUUUUAGAAACAAACAUCACAUUUUUAACAUAAUUAAAGCACAUAAAAUCAUAAUUUGAAAAGAGUGUCAUGCUGAUGAUGCUUACGCUUGAUGGAAAUGCUUAUGCACGACUUUGAUGAGACUAAGUGCAUGCUUAACACCUAGGGUGUUACACAUGGUGGAUGGAGAGUGUCGCUUUCAGUACCCUCGACAGUUCUGUGAGGCAACCCAACAAGGAAAGGACUCCUAUCCAACCUAUAGGAGAAGGGAUGAUGGACGUCGAGUCAGGAUUAGGAUAGCAGAGUUAGAUAACAGGUGGGUAGUGCCAUACAACCCUGGUCUACUAAUGAGGUACAACUGCCAUAUAAAUGUUGAAGCGUGCUCAAGCAUUAAAGCAGUGAAAUAUAUAUUUAAGUAUGUAUAUAAAGGUCACGAUCAAGCAUCAUUCUCAGUAAAUGCAGACCAAAAUGAUAGAGACGAUGGUGUCAUUAAUGAGAUACAACAGUACAGGAAUGCUAGGUACAUAUCUCCACCAGAAGCCGUGUACAAGAUAUUUGGUUUCCCAAUGUUUGGAGUUUAUCCGGCUGUAUUGCAACUCCAACUUCAUUUGCCCGACAUGCAGUCAGUGACAUACAAUGAUGAGGAAAACCUAGAGGAUGUUGUGAGGCGCCCAGGAUCUAAUAGGACUACACUAACAGAAUAUUUUAGUAGAAACCGUGAAGAUAGGGUAGCAAGGAAAAUAUUAUACAGAGAGUUUCCAGAACACUAUCGUUGGAUCACAGGGAGAAAAGUAUGGCAAGGAAGAAAACAAUCAUCAGGACAGAUAGGCCAGAUUGUCUAUGCUAACCCUGCUGAGGGGGAGAGAUACUUCCUAAGAGUUUUACUGAAUCAUGUGAGAGGUGCAACAUCAUAUGAGGAUUUAAGAACAGUGGCCGGUGUCACCUACUCUACUUUUAGGGAAGCAUGUGAGAAAAGAGGGCUAAUCGAGACAGACCAAUCAAUCAAUGACUGCUUGACUGAGGCCACCACAUUUCAAAUGCCAUGUGCCUUGCGAAGGUUGUUUGCUACCAUACUUGUAUUCUGUGAGGACACUGACAUACGUGGACUAUGGGCCAAGCAUAAGGAUGCUCUAGGUGAAGACUUCAGCCGGGACAACGACAACACAUUUAUAGUGGAGCAAAUGGUGCUCAGAGACAUACGUGAUAUGCUUCACUCAAUGGGGAAAGAUAUUAGAGAUUAUGGUCUGCCACCUAUUUCUGAUGAGGGUCCAAGCUCUGUUGACAUGAUGAGGGAGGUUACAGAUGAACAGAAUAUCCCUAUAGACCAAGAUCACUUAGAUAUUUUUGAUUCUCUUAAUAAGGAGCAGAGAGAAGGGUUUGAUGAAAUCAUUCAACAUGUCUUUGCCAAUAAGAGCCAGGUUUUUUUUGUGGAUGGUCCAGGAGGCACGGGGAAGACGUUUCUAUACAAGGCCCUCCUUGCUAGAGUUCGGUCUAGAGGAUUAAUUGCCAUUGCAACAGCCACAUCUGGUAUAGCCGCAUCAAUAUUGCCUGGAGGACGCACUGCACACUCCAGAUUUAAAAUACCAAUUAAAAUUGGAGACAACAGCAUGUGCAGCUUUACAAAACAAAGUGGUACUGCAGAGUUGCUUCGUAGGGCAUCUUUGAUUAUUUGGGAUGAAGUUGCCAUGACUAAGCGUCAGUGUGUAGAGACACUUGAUAGGUCCCUCCAGGAUAUCAUGGAAUGUGCUUUGCCAUUUGGAGGAAAGGUCAUUGUAUUUGGUGGAGACUUUAGACAAGUUCUACCUGUGGUGACACGUGGGACAAGAGCACAGGUAACUGAUGCUACUUUGCAAAGAUCCUAUUUAUGGGAUAAAAUAAGGAAGAUAAGAUUGUCACGGAACAUGAGAGCACAGUCAGACCCUUGGUUUUCUGAGUACCUGCUACGAAUUGGAAAUGGAACCGAGGAAACCAUUGGAGAUGAUUACGUCCGGCUCCCUGAUGACAUUGUGAUUGGUUAUACUGACACAGAGGUGGCAGUCAACCAACUUAUUCAAGAUGUUUUCCCAUCACUUGAAGAACAUGCAACAUCAGCCGCCUAUAUGAGUUCCCGUGCCAUUCUAUCGACCAAAAAUGACCAUGUUGAUCGGCUGAAUGCAAUGAUGAUUGAGAGGUUUCCAGGUGACGAAAAGGUUUACCACAGCUUUGACACUGUUGUUGAUGAUCCUCAGAAUCACUUCCCUAUUGAUUUUUUGAAUUCAAUAACUCCAAAUGGACUCCCCCCACAAGAGCUUAAGCUAAAAAUCAAUUGUCCUGUGAUUCUUCUCCGCAAUCUUGAUCCAAACAAUGGCUUGUGCAAUGGAACAAGGCUCAUGGUUAGAGCAUUGCAAGACAAUGCAAUUGAUGCUGAGAUCGUUGCUGGACAACAUGCACGGAAAAGGGUGUUCAUACCAAGGCUUCCAUUGUCUCCCUCAGAUGAUAUUUCUCUUCCUUUCAAGUUCAAGAGAAAACAAUUCCCAGUGCGCUUGAGUUUUGCCAUGAUGAUAAAUAAAUCACAGGGACAAACCAUUCCUAAUGUUGGGAUCUACCUUCCGGAACCCGUGUUCUCGCAUGGACAACUCUAUGUUGGUUUGUCAAGGGGGGUGUCAAGAGCAACAACAAGAAUUUUGGCAAAACCAAAAGAGGAUUUGGAUCCUACAGGGAAGAGCACUAAGAAUAUAGUUUACAAAGACGUCCUAAGUUGGUGACUGACGGUGUGUGUACUCAACCCAUUUUAUCAAUUCUCAUGUAAAAUUAUAUUGUUGGCAACUUCCCAAAAAAUUAUAUUGUUGGCCGUGUGCUUGAUAUUUUAAUUCUGUAGCAUCAGAAAGUCCUAUCUGUCUCUUAUAUGAUGUUUGGGUUCCAAACUUUCAGGUUCAUCUGACUGUUCUGGGAGCAUUUGUCAAUAAAUGGAAGAAAAGGCAGGUUCUUGUAGCACAUCUGACAACAGUCAGGAAGGCAGUACUGGAGCAUGGCUGAUGGCCGGCGAGGAGGUAGUGUGAACUUCAAAAGUUUGUAUCAGUCUUGGACCUAAGCCCAGGGUAGUACAAUCUGUUCUCUGAAUCAUCUUACUUUUUUUUGCAAAACUGAACCUUAAAGUGUAUUCAAUGGUACAACUUUAUCAGACGACGCCAUGUUCAUAUGCUGUUGAUUCUGCUUGUUUUAUGCCGGAAUACAUGUAAGCACCCGAGCUUCCUCCUAAUGAUGCUAAAAGAGCUUUAUGUUCUUUGGAUUUCUGAGUUUCCUUGUAAUGCAGUGCUAGCUCUUCCAAGUAAUAUUCUAGACUUAACUGAAAUAGAAAACAAGGAUGCUGAUUCUGCUUGGUUCACACCAUUGAAGGAGUUCACUAAGGAUUGAAUUCUUGGCCGACAUUGUGACAAGCCGAGCAAACGAACGUUUCAACAGCCUCCCUGAAGAUCUCCAAUACAUGAUUAAGGAGUUAGGCAAAAUGUAACUUACAUGGUUCAUAACAGAAAUAACUUUACCUUAUUAUUAUGCAGUAAAAGUUAAACUAUGAAAGGAUAUUGGUUGUUUUUAUAAACAUCUCCAAGAUUAAGCCGUAGCGUUAGCACGGGCAGUGAUGGUGCUCUUUACUCAUUCCUUGCGAGCCCCACCUCCAGAGGAACCUUCUCCAGCACCGGGGUUGCGGUUACCCCCACCACGCAUUUGCACCAUUUGCAUGCGUCAACGAUAAGAAGUCGUUAGGAGUUGCCAUCAAUCGGUAGACAUUUGUAAAAUUGUGCCACACUGAAUUUACUGAUGGGGAUAAAUUCACACAAUAAACAGAGGCACAAUAACUCAUCAUCCACACACAACCUCGCUAACUGAUUACUUAACAUUUAGCCAACAGGGUUCGCAUACAUCCAAAAUUGUCAGCAUACAUACACUGGACUUUCAGCAUCAACACAACUCAAGCACAUAAAGUCUUACACAUACAAGAUCCAACAGGUUACAAACACAUGUUAUGCAACAACAACAAAAGAAGAAGGACUAGCUCUAGAGCCCUAGCAUCUACUCGCUAUGAUCACUGUCCAUACCAAAACCUUCCUCUUCCUCGUCUCCACUAGCGGCUGCCUCUAUCUCUGGGUCCUCGUCCAUCUCAUCCUCAGAGUCUAACUCAGCUGCUCCAGGUAGGUGGUGAGGAAGGAGCUGGUUAUGCAGCUGGUGGAUCUCCUCAUGUAGGUUCUCAUUGUACUCCUCAGCAUUAGCUAGCUGCUGCUCAAGCUACAGCUGUCAGGCUCUCACGGUAUCCUCCUCGUGCCAGGCUUCAUUCCUCUGACCAAGCACAUGAACUAGAAUGCGCUCGCAGUUCCUGUGAGCUGUGGUCACCCUAUCCCUCUGCUCUCUCACUGCUAGUAGAUCCUGACUUAGCACACUGUUCUGCUGGACUGCCUGGUCCCUCUCUAGAGUCAUACGAGCCAACUCUGUCUAUAGCCUCUCAACCUUACUAUCAAACUCAUGCUGCAGUUGGCUCAUCCUGAACUGUCAGUAGAGAUCCAGACAAGUGUCCCAAACAGUGCUAUAGACCCCCAUAGGUCUUCAUCAUGGCAAACAUAGCGCUCAUAGCUAUACUGUGACUGUGCUGAUCCUCAUCCGCACUUCUCUACAGAGCAUUCACCUUGGGCUGAUCCCACACCGAAGUGUAGGGGUCACCCUGGGGAAACACCCUAGCGAAGGCAUGGGCCAGCUCCUACGGAAACCUCUCCAUGAUGUCCUUCAAAACAGCAAAAGCAGCCCUGCUGGCACCAUGGAAAGACGUGCUGCCUCGGGACUCGAAUACCUAGCCACCAUAGGUGGGGUCUGUUGACACUUGCUAACACCACUUGAAUACUAGGUUGUCAUCCCCAGCAUGGCACUAGAGUGUAUUAUGGUAUUUAUACGCACAUAGAUAAUCCGCAAGCGCACGGAUACCGUUGAAGCUUUUACCCGGUUAAAGGUUUUAUCGUAUCCAUAGGGAAACGGGAGAACUGAUCUAUGCUCUAACUUAACCAGGAUAGAUAGAUAAGUGUAAAUAGGAAAGAUGGUAGAAUUGAAUAAGAACAAUAUUAAAGAUAAGAUAACAGUGAGUGAUAAUAUGGGAAUAGAGAGUAGAGCAAUUCUAGUAUAUGGGCGAUGGUAGCAGAAUAGAGAGGAUAACGAUGGUUUCUCUACUUCAAAGGGGUAUGUCUAUGUCUGGGACGAACCACGUGAUAAGAGUACACCACAAAGGAUGCUUAUCCUUAGGCCGAUAAAUCCUACCCAUCCUGCUAACGAGAGGUGGACUACAGAGGACCAACGUAACUGUCACCUACGCGGCCAACCACACGAUCCAGCUAGACAGGGGAUAUCCACAAGUAAUCUAGGUCUAAGCACCACGCUUACACCUAUACUACAACUCUCACCUAUAGCGUCCUAUAGAUUAGAAUACUCAAAAGAGUUGUGAACCAGAACAUACAUAAUUAGUAAUUCCAUAAUGAAUUAGAAGUAGAUUACCAGAGUCAUCCCAUGAGCAAGCUUGAGUAGAGCUUGAUCAUGACGAAGUACAACCGGAGGAAGAACCGACAGGCCGGCCUCUCCUCUAAUCCUCCUUCGCUCUCCAUCCUGCUACUAUCUAGAUCUACUCUAGUUUAGAGAAGAGAGGAGAGCUCUCAUCUCUAAACCCUAGCUUUAGCUCUGUCUAUGAAUAAUGAAUAAUGAUAAAGGGGUGCCUCCUCUAGGGGCUAGGGGGUCUGGUUAUAUAGUCCCCACAAGUGAACCUGGGUCGUCGGAUCAAACCGACAUUGAUUGAACGGUUAUUCUUGAUCCUUUAGGUCGGUGGAGCAUAAUCCGCGAGGUUGAACGUGAUUGGCCACUGUAGCAGGGCGAGCGCCCUAAGGACUUGGGCGAGCGCCCAGGUCCUGGCUCGAUUCGGCCUCCGCUUCCUUCCCGUGGCUUGUAGAGUCUUCUAGAUGUAAGAUAAUUGCGCGGCAUGUUAAUAUCUCUAUGUAAUCCCGACGUGUGGGCCUUUCUUCCGUAUUUCCUGAUAACCCCCUGCAGAAAUAGACAAACACCAAAUCUCGUGGACCCUAAGUUUAGAUGUUGGUUGUAUUUGGAUCCUUUUCUUUAUUUAUUUGAUAAUUAAAUUUGAUACUUAAGGACCGUCAACAAACUCCCCCAAGCUUACCUCUUGCUCGUCCCUGAGCAAGGAUAGACUCAGCAAUGGAUCAGAAGUUGUUGCAAUAUCUUAAAAAUUUGACGGUACACAUGCUUUUAAAUAAGAUCUCAUCUCUGAGUUAGAGUAAACUGUCAAGAACUAAAACUUACUUACUUUACCUUUCACCAUGGGACUUGUAACCAUCACUUCUGUCUUGAGUAGUUAAAAGAUAGAACAGUCUAGCCAAGUGCCAUGUCUCUUAUUCUUGAUCAGCUAUAGCUCUAGAGUUUUUUGCAGAUUUUCAAAUAAAACUCAGAGAUUCCUUGUAUGACUCUCCAAAUCUCUGUUUUGUGGUAUUUCUGGAUCCUUACCAAGGCAGUGAUGGUAUAUGCCUUCUCUCAAGAUAUAUGGUAUUUGUGGUAUAAGGCAUAGUGACAUUGCCUUCUCUCUCACCCUACUCUAAUAAGGCUUUAAUAUCUGGAGCUCAUAGGUGGGAGACAGCUAAUACAUACUUACAAGACAUUUAUUGCAUAUUCAAACCAUGGAUCCAGAGAAACAAGUCAAUAAGUCAAAUCAAGAUGUGCAUGUGUGGCGAAUGAAUGGUGUAUGGUGAUGAUGGUGAUAACAAUGGUGGAAGUCUAAUUCUACUUUUGCUCUUUUGAGGGGAUACAUACCUUCCUUGCUUUUUGAAACUUUAUGAGGAGAAUGAGAUGCUCUAUCUUUCAUUUUUUUUUAUUUCCUCUCAGGUGGGUAUCCUGUACCCCUAAUUCUACUGUCGGACACUUGUUCAUUUUUACCUCUCGUCUCACUCUUUUUCUUUUCUUUCGAGGUUUCGGGCACUUGCCCCUUUUUAUUUCCUCGUAUAUUUUUUCUCUCCUCUUUUUUUUAGAGCACUCAUCUCAUGAGAUAAUAUAGCAAGUGGUAGUAACAAGAUAACUUGAGCAUUUAUUUCACAAGGGAAAAUAGAAAUAUUUUUGGCUAUUCUCUCCCGAAUUAGGAGUAGAAUAUUUUUGGGUGGUUCUUGAGAUGGACAUGGAUGGAUAUAUGUGGAUGGUACUUCCGGAGUAUAAAUAGCAUAUAUGAGUGAAUGUGCAAGUGAAAUCUUGAUUUAACCACAUGACAAGCCCCUAAGGGUCUACACAGCUUGACCACACUCAAUGCUCAUAAGCAGUAAAUAGUAAAUGUGUGGCUCAAAGUCUAGCAAGCAUGUAUAUAUGGCUGUGGUAGGAAUUUAAACUUUCAUCAUAUAGGAACUCAUCAUGCAAUAUUUUAAAGAUUUUUCAAAGAUAAAAUUGUCCAGAAUUCUAGCAUCUCUAGAAAGAGAUAAACAGCAGCUCAACCUUCCCAUAUCAUAUCCGUUAACAACUUAGAUUUCAGAUCAAGUUUUUAUCCCACAAGUUUAGAUCUAGAGCAAGCUUUAAAUUAUAACAGUUAUGUCUAAACUUGAGAGAGAACUUCAAAUUUGCAAAUUAGGCAGAGCAACUAUUCAUCAUAUCCAUGCUAGAGUUUUAUUAUUAAGAUUCAGAUUAGCAUAGCCACUUUAUUUAUUUAUUAAACACAUUAAGCAAAAGAUAUAUAUAAGCACAAAAGCUUUAUUUAGUUUUUCAUUGUUUAUGUAUUUUAAUAUUCUAAUAUAAUAUAAGUAUAAAGAUAGGUAGAAAUACUUAGCGAGAUAAAUGGGGGUGCUCUCCCCCAAGCUAAAUUUUGAUGUAAUUUCUCUUGAUGUAGCUAGCAGGUGGCAGAGGUGUAUUUGAAAGUCAGCAGUAUUCUGACAGCGAUUAGAAUGUCCUCCGUCUGCUACUCUUCUUGAUUCAUAAAUUCUGUGGAGCUCAAAUGGACAACAAAGCUUGUGGAACUAAUUAAGUGUUAGCAUAAAUAUCUAGCCUUCAUCGUGUUGAGCUUCCUCAACAAAUAUUACUCCCUGUUUUUAUAUUUUUAUUUUAUAAAGUAGAAAAGAAAUAUUUAUUUUAUUUUUAUGCCACCACAGUGAAGGUACUUAUGGGUUUUAUGCCACUCGUAUACUCACAUGGAGCUUAGUAUUUUUUAACAUUUUUAUUUUCUUUUCAAGAUAGCAUGAUUAACUAAUAAUCUAUUUAAGAAAAGUAAAUAAUUAAAGGGAAAAGGGAAUGCAGAAAGGAUAAAUAUGGAUAACUACUGAUCUUACCUUCCAGCGAGAGUUCAAUGUUUUAAGUCUUCUUAACAAGAUUCUCACCGUGUUCAUUCUUCAGGUGCGUCAUUUGAUUCAGGUGCGGACCUUAACGUCUGCACCUCUUGAUACGGUGUCACCCAUGUUCUUCGUUUGCCCAGCAGUUCGAAGUGCGGCAUUGGCAGUAACCUGCUCGGUGUGUUUGAGCUCGUAGAUCCAGGUCCUUCAUUUGGUAGAGUCUGAGAGUUAUAAAACUCCUCCGUGUUUUGCUCAAAGUGUACCUGCUCAUAGAGACAAGGCAGAGAUCAAGUGCAUGGGUCCUGUUGGUGGAAAACACCAACAGAACCUAAAGUGUAUUUGUUCUUCUCUAACCCUAAGCAUAGU